rnacentral:lncRNA from 1 species
AAAAAAAAAAAUCAAAACUGUGCACUCCGGUUCAAGUGUUAGAGCCCAGUCCUGCCCGGCUCUGAAACCCCGGAUUCUGAUUCGAAACCGGAUCGUGACCGCAACGCAGGCCAUUCUACCCUACAAAAUCGGGAACACGAACCCGUCCAACCAAUCCGCUAUCAAAUAACUUAAAACGCACAACUGGGUAACUUCAUUUGCAACCGCGAUCUGUCCAACCGUCACCGGAGAUCGGCCAUGGCCGCUUCCUCCGCCGGAAAUCCACUUCCGGUAGACGUUUCAUCUUCUUGCGCUACUCCUUUCGUAUUAUCUUCCGAUUCUACGCCCGGACUCUCUCUUACGCUGGAUCAGAUUAAGUAUAGCUCUGAUGCUCUCCAAUUCUUCAAGAACAAGCUCUGCACUCCAGAAUGAAUCACUCAAGAGUUCGCUCAUUUGCAGGUUCUAUUUUUUUUCCUUUUUUGUUGCUGAAAAGCAAAUCACAAUGCUAAACAAGCACAUAAAGCAAGUAAAAGUUAAUUUUUGGGGUUCUUUUUAUAUAUAAUUAAGCGAAAGCCUUGUUGGUUUCUUUGGAAACUGGAAUUGAUGUUUCAGCAUAGUAGUGAAGAACUUUAAUUGGAUAGAAAUAUAAAGCCAUAUCAACUAAUUCCCUAUUAGGAGUCCAUAUAGGAGGUGCAGUUGCAGUUGCACUUGCUCAUUGGAAAAAUUGGGUUAAGGUCCUAAUGCGGCUUUUGAUUAAACAUCUGUAAAUGCGAUUUUUUUUUCUGAAGCAUGAAGACCAUAAUCUUGUUGCAUAAGUUGUUUGAUAAUGUUGAAAUGAAUUCAAUUCUUGUAUGAUUUCAGGUUACUAGGAUAACACCAUCUCAAAUGGCUAGAAGCUGCAAAGUGGCUCUUGAUACGGUCAACUUGAGCAAAAACCGCUAUAUGGAUGUGGUUCCUUGUAAGAAUUUUAGUUAACAAAUUUUCUCUUGCGAGUAUGUGCUACUCAUACCAUUCCUGGAGAUGAGCACUACUGAUUAGCAUUAUUUUAUGUUAUCAAUUUAAGUUGACCAAACUAGGGUUGUUCUUAAUCAAUGCAAGGAUUAUAGACCAUCUGCUAAGGGAUAUAUAAAUGCAAGCUUUAUCAUGGUGAACAUUUACUUACCCUAUGGUUGUUUAUUUUGUCUUUAAUUUGGAAUCCAGAUGAAGUACUUGAAUCAGAUUCCUGAUUGUGUAACAUCCAGUGAUUUUUGUUUGUGCAGACUUCUUCGUCUGAAAGCAUUUCUCAGUUUAUAGCCACAAAGGGUCCACUGCCACACACCUAUGAAGAUUUUUGGGAGAUGGUAAUCCAGUAUCAUUGCCCUGUGAUUGUGAUGCUUACGCGGCUAGUUGACAAUUACAAGGUACUUCGAUUUCUUAAGUUGAAUUAGAAAUAUAAUUCAUUCUAAUAAAUCAUGUAUGAUUAUUCCUAGAGCAAUUAAUGACCAUUUUCACUAUGUUGCAUCUGCCUAUUUUGAAUUUAGUUAUUUUUUUUUUAUAUUAGCUUUUUUUUUUGGGAUUAGAUGUCUUUUUUGAAUUUUGUUUAUAAGUGCUAAAUACUUGAAAACUCUGUUGGAAAAUUGAUAUGCUGUAGUAAAAUUUCAUAUAAGAUUUCUUGUCAAAGGAUCUGAGUAUUAAUUCAUUUGAGUAAAGCGCUUUCUUUCUAGGUUGUUCAUAUUUAGAUCUAAUGAUUUUUCAUCGCUUCUCAUAUGUUGUUUAUGCAGACUGCAAAAUGUGGAGAUUAUUUUCGAGCAGAAGAUGGUCCUAGAGAUUUUGGAAAUAUAUGUCUAGUUACUAAAUGGAUGGAAACUACUAACACUUCAUUAGUGUUGCGCAACUUGGAGGUGAGCUAUAAAGAGGUCAGUAUCAUUGUAAGUCAACUGAAGCAUUGUUGAUGGUGAUAUGUGGAUUCUUUAGGCCAGCGGAAAAUAAUAAAAUAUUUAGGUGCAGUAUGAUAUGUUUGAUGUGGUAAGGAAAACUAGAUUUAAGAAUUAUUUUAUGUAAUAAUUGUAAAGUUAAGAUCAAAUAAAAGGUUUAAGUUUCCAUCAUUAAGGAAAUUUAAUUAGGAAGUAGUAUUUUGAUUAUCUAGGAAUUCUCUUGUUUAGAUAGUAGCAUUGGUUUUGUUUUCCUAGUUCUAUUGAAUUAGUGUUUUCUUCCUUUGGAAUUCCUAAUCAUAAUAUUAGGAGGAUUAAUAUCAUACUAGAAAUACCUAUGUCGUCUAGGUAUUUUAUUGGAGAACUUGUCAUGAUUAUUAUUGACAAUUGAGAAUUUAGAACAUUUGGUAAUUUUUGUUAUUUUCCUGGGAUUGUCUUCUAACUAUUCUUCUAAUGAGCAAACUAGCUGUUCUGUGUGUAACGACCCGAAAAUCGGACCGAUACCGGCGCUAGGAUCCGGGUCGACUUAAGGCCGCCGGGACCCGUAACAAGCCUGACAUGCAACCUGUAAACCUGUUUAACCCCAUACAUGAUCAACAAUUAUACAUAAAAAUUUAAAACUUUUCUUUCAUUCAUUUCUCAUACGCCAAACUCAACCUGUGCAUGCACUAAACAUAAUCAUAAUCAUAAACUUGACCCCUCUGUGGGAUCUCUUCAAUGCCCCCAAUGGGUGGCAAUACAUGUGUUGAGUUGGCUAAACAUAGUCAUUAAUAAACAUUAAGAUCAUGUAUCCAAAAAGGGAUUACAAUAACUAUGGUCAAGCACACUUCUGAACCUCAAUAUCAUUACGUUACAUGACUAUUCAGUUUUACAUCAUCUUACAAUUUAUCAUGUCCACUUUCUAACUAUUACAUUACAAGACUUUACUCUUCUUGACUUCUCUGUCUAGUCCGUACCUGCAAUCCUGGGGGAUUAGGGAAAAGGGGUGAGCUACUAGAGCCCAGUGAGCAGAAUGAUAGAAAACAACAUUUAAAUCUCAUGCCAUCAUGUAAUGCAACACAUCACAACAAAUCACAUCUUGGAUGGUAUUGUCACCAAUAGUCCUCUACAUUCCAAAGUGCCGGGACGUNNNNNNNNNNNNNNNNNNNNNNNNNNNNNNNNNNNNNNNNNNNNNNNNNNNNNNNNNNNNNNNNNNNNNNNNNNNNNNNNNNNNNNNNNNNNNNNNNNNNNNNNNNNNNNNNNNNNNNNNNNNNNNNNNNNNNNNNNNNNNNCACAUUUGCCUCCAAACUUCCAAUCAUGCAUUUAGCUCAACCAAAACAUGCAAAUAUACAUACAUUGGCUCCUAGGGGCUUCAAACUAACUUAAACCCCAACUACAACACACAAAUCCAACAUACAUUGCUCAAAACAUAACAUUAACUCAAAAACCUAACUAUGAGCUAAACAUGCAUUCUACCCCAUAAAUCUUGCAUAAAACUUACUUUAAACAUGAAAUGAGCUUAAGAUCGGCUCUUACCUCUUGAAGAUCGAGAGAGAGACGUCCUAAACUCGGAGGUGGGAGAUUUUUGAGUUCUUGAACCUCCAAGCUCCAAAACUCGCUUUAAACUCGAAAAUCUUCAAAACAAAGUUAAAACAAAUGAAAAACUUGAAAGAUCUAGAGGAAAAACAUCAAAGAUCGGUGAGGAACGGCGGAGAACUCACCUUGGCCGAAAAUGGGGGAAAAAGCUCGCCCGUUUUCGGCUAAGGGACCCUUUUAUAGUGGCUGGCCAUGCCACGUUCGGGGGCCGAAAGUGCCUCCGCAUGCAUGCCAUGUUCGGCGGCCGAACUUGAGGUUCGGCGGCCGAACCUGGACUUCCCUCACUUAUGCCUUCGGGGGCCUAAGGCACACCCGAAACGCAUGCAUGUUCGGCGGCCGAACUUCGAGUUUCGGCGGCCGAACCUGAGUUUUCCCCUAAAGGUUGUUUUCAUGCAAAAACUCAUUUCCUUUCAACUUAAAACAUCAAAAACAUUAAAACCUUUCAUGAAAACAUGGUUUUACCCCUUCUAGAGGUCUCCGACAUCCGAGAUUCCACCGGACGGUAGGAAUUCCGAUACCGGAGUCUAGCCGGGUAUUACAGUGUGUCUCUCAGUGUAUUGAUGGUUUGAUGACAUAUUAGUAAAAGUAUCUAUUUUGUUUUCAUAGAUUGACAUUAUUUAGGUCAAGGAAUUAAUGUAAAAGAUUGUUGUGGAUAUUUAGACUGUUAUCAUAUAUUAUAGUGUAUAAAAUGGGUUUUAGGUUUUAGAAAGUCAUGCAGUGAUAAAUUUUGGAUCCUGAAAGGAGCUGGAAUGAUAAGUGAAGCAAAUUAAGAAUCUUUUGGUAUUAGCUAUGAAAGAGGCAGAGGUCAUUUCAUUUGGAUCCACCUUUUCUCUCACUUUCCAUUGUCUUUAUGGACAUGGUAUGAUAAGAUUGUUAUUAUUCUUGAACAAAUAAUCAAUAAAUCCAUUCUCUCCUAAAUCUGGAGAGAUAUGAAAAGACCUUUGUGAGGUGAUGUAGGUUGCAUUUCUGAAGAGAGAUUGCCAUAUUUAAACCAUUGUGAAUUGUGGUAGCUUAAGAGGGGAGAUUAAUUUCAGGAUUUUUAUUUUUCUUUUCUUGUAAACCUGUUUAGUUUAAUUCGGGGACUUGUAUUCUCAAGUCCUUAUUUGCUGUGAUGAUUUCUAGGAAUUGUGUGGUGGCUAUAUUAAUAUUUGAAGUUAGGAAGUGGUUGAGGAUCACAUUUCCUAGGUGAAUUGUGUUUAGCAUCAAAGUGAAGUUUUCAGUAAUAUAGAAGCCUAGUUAUUUAUGUUUUGGAGGUGAUCUAAUGGUUUUAGGACAAAAAGAAUGUGGAGACUAAGGGAAAUUGUUGAAGGUGGUAAAGUUGGAUGGUAUUCAUUGCCCCCAAAAUUGUUUGAGGUCUCCUUUAUAGUGGAGGAUGCUUCUAGGAUUGGUGUGGGAGUAAGAUAGUUUGAAACUAGUCAAUAUUUUAGGUUAGGUAUUGGUGCUAGAGAAUGGGACGGCUUAAAGCCUCCAGAACUCGUGCAAGCCUAGAACUGUAUGCUUGACCUCAUAAGGCCCACAAAACAAUGUUUUUAAUUCUAAGAAAGUGCAAAGGAGUGUUUUUUCCCCUUCAAGAUAACUGGUUUUGAUAGAAAAAAAACCUCUAUAUUCGAGUUCUAUUUGUAUAAACUUUUGAUAUCUUUAUGACAUUAUUUCUUUUACUUUCUUUAUCAUACUUGGUCAUUUACUUGUAGUGAGCAUCUUGGUUCUUCCUAUCGCUGCACAUUUCUACAAGAGAACUUUAUGUCACUCUAUAAAGAUAUCCCAUUCCCUAAGACUGAUAGUGAUCCCAUUGUCAGGUUGUUACAAAGUGGUAUUAGAGCCUCUUUUUGGAGUUGGGGAGAGGGUGUUGCCGGUUCUCUUUUAUCUUUAAGAGUUGAUUGGCUGUAUGUUUGAUGUGAUGAAGGCUAGGAGUUUCACAAGUCAGGUCAAAUAAAAUUAGUCUUAUUGUUAUAUUUGACACCUUUUUCUUGGAGAAACCAGAUUUGAAGAAUUGUAGCCUGCUCAUUUCAGUGGGAAUAUUAUAAAACUGUGGUGUAGGCUACAGGUACUAUGUAUGUAGAAUGCUUUCAUUAUAGAGGUGCUUUGACCUGUAAAAAUUUAAAGAUAUUUACGUAUAAAAUAAUGGCGAAGUUGCUGUCAUGUAUAUUGAUGGCUGUAAUUCAAGAUGUCCUUUGACAAACAUGGGAAGUUUUUCUUUUGGAGGGGAUGAGUAUGAUUAUAUGUUGUCAUUGUGGCUGAUAUAUAGGCCUGAUUUAAUUAUUUAAAUGUUCAUCUUUAGUAUGUUAAUCUUAUAUUAAAAACAAUCUAAAUCGAAUAAGAAAAGUAACUUGACGAACAUGAAAGGCUUUCUUUUGUGGAAUUUUUUAUGAUUUAAAUAUUUUCCUUGUGGCUAAUGUGUCAGUAUGAUCUACAUAUGGUUUAAGAAUGUUACUCCUAUAACAUUUCACAUAUGGUAUGUUAAUCUGAUAUUAGAUACAACCUAAAUUGAGUAAAGAAUAGGUAAUAGAGAACAGGAAUAAAAAAAGAUGUAUUUUCCGUUGAAAGUUGAAUGUGACCUGAAACCAAACAAAUUUUACACGUAGUAAUUGUCAAAUGCCCUUGAAUGUGCUAGCUCCAUUGUCCUUCAAGCUUAGCAUUCUCACCUGCAUGUCUAAGGUUUAUGUGAUGGAGCGGGGUUCUCAAUGACAGAAAGAAAUAUUAUUUAGGGAGGAACCAAAGAAAGAAAGGAGAGAAGGAAUAGAAGAAGAGGGAAAGGAAGAAUUAUGCAUGUGUUAUUAGUUUUAGGAAUCCCUCAAGUACAAGUAUUUCCCUCUAUUUAUACUAAUAUCAAUGUGUAACAAGAUAACUACCAGUUUUAACAGAGUAACUGCCCUUUUUUUCCCUCCAAUUUCCUUUUCUCAAAUUCACUCAACUUCUCAGUCACACCACCCUCUCAAAUGAGCUCAUUGCAUCUCUUAUUCAUAAUGUUCAUUCCCUACCUUGUCAAAAUCAUUCUGUGGCCAAAAUUGAAUAAGAGGAGCUAAUAAUGAAAUGCUUGCUAAAUCUGUAUCCAUCUGCAUCAAGUCUUUGAAAAGAAAAAUGAGAAUGCAGGCAUUAUUCUCAUCAUUCUUGGCAUUUCCACCAUAUCAUUAAUGCAAAAUUCCUCCAUUGAUAAAUUGUAUUUUCUUCUUUUGUCUCCUCCAAAUUUCAAAGUCAUUCUCUUUGGUAUUAUAUGCCUACAUGAUCUCAGCUCAACUACAGUAUCUCCUAAACUCCAAAACCCUUUUCUAUCUCUAUCUUCUUCAUAAACAUUCAAUCUUCUCCUGCAGUAUUAGUUCCACUAACAUAGAAAAACCUAAUAUAUUUUCCUGGAGAAAACACCCUCCUUCAGAUCUUUUUCUCUUGAGAUGAGUUGGUUGUCCAGUAUAUUGGUCAAGUCAAGAUCACUUUCAGCCAAUGUCAAUUUUACUAAAACUGUAUCUUCUUCAUCAUCAUCAACUUUGGAUGUUUGCCCAUAAGAAUUGCAAGACCGUGGUCAUACUAACCAGGUUUUUGCUUGAAUUUAGUUCUUUAAAUGUUUCAAAGCUCCAAUUAUUGAGAACUUAUAUUUAUGAGGGAAGUUUAAGAAUAAGAAUCCUUACCAUAGCCAAAAUCCUUAUUAUUCUCAUCAUUUGCACCAUUACUUCAUUUGCAAAGAUUUACUAAUUAGAAUGUUCAAGAGUUUAAAAUUUUGGUUCUUCUGAAUCAACUUCUCAUCUCCAUUCCCAUAAAUCUUGUCAUUAAAGGAGACAGUUUCCUCUCUUAGCCACACUUUCCUAGGUCUUCCUCAAUUCACUGCCAUUACCCCAAGAAAUCUCAAUUCAGUGGUUGUUGGUUUCAGUUUCUUGAAUUGGCUUCUCAAAGUUUUCCCAUUUCUGAUUCCAUUUUUCCAAACACUCUUCUUGCCAUUUAAUGGAUCCUUCUUUACUUUCAACAUAGAAGGAUCUUGUUGUUGCCAAUGUUGUGAGUUCCAUGGUCGGAAGGUGUCUGCGCAAGUAACAGAAGCAAAAGAUUUAUUUCUGUUAUAGGAAAUAAAUCUGUACAUUUAUUUCCUAUAACAAUAUCUAAGAAAAUUGAGUAGAAGGGUUGAAGGAGGAAUAAAAAAGGUCAGAAUCAGAUCUAAAACUGACCUAAAGCAGACCUCAAACAGAUAGUACCCAAAUUAAAACAGAGGCCUAAAACAGAAAAAUGGAAAUGGGAUCCCUCCUAGCUUGACCUUUGAUAUUUUUGGGGUUUUCAAGAAUGAAAGUAGAAAUUCAAGGAAGAAACUGUAAUUUCGCGGUUCUUAGAAAGGAGAGAAAUUAAGGAAAAGAGGAAGAAGAUAUUGCAGAGAAUUAGAAAAGGAAGAAAUAAAUACACAGAUUUUUGGAUUUUAAGAAAGACAAAAAAGAAAAAAACAUCUGCAACCUAAUUUGAAGCUAGGCCCUCCCAGAACCUUGCUUUGAUAGCACUUGGUAUGGAGAAGGAUGCUCAAUCAUAGAAAAGAACAGAAAUUAGGAAGGAAACGGAGAAAAAUAAAGAAAGAAAGAAGGAAUAAUAGAAGACAGAAAGUAAGAAUUCUGCAUUUGUUAUUAUUGGAAUCAUUCAGUUACAAGUAUUUCCCUCUGUUUAUUCUAGUAUUUCAUGAUGAGAUAACAACACUGUCACUAGAAUAACCCCUCUUUUUUAUCCAGUCUUCUAUUCUCAAAUCCACUCAACCACUCAGUCACACUGACUCACACCACCCUCUCAAGUCAUCUCAUGCCAUCUCCUAAUUUAUAGUAGUUUUCUAAUUUUGAAAUAGUUUAGCUCGUAUACACUCUUUAGCUAGAAGUAGAAAAUAAUUUUAUUAUCUUAAUCAACACAAAUAAUGAUUUUGUGAGUUCUUUUUCGUCUGUUAUCUUGGUUGCAGUCAGAUAAGGCACCAAUGUCUGUUUUGCAUGUUCAGUAUCCUGAAUGGCCUGAUCAUGGAGUUCCCAAGGACACAGUUGCUGUUCGUGAAAUCUUAAAAAGGGUAUACCAAGUACCAACCAAUCUUGGCCCAGUAGUCGUCCACUGCAGGUUCACCUGAUUUCUCUUGCUUUUUGUGAUGCCAAAUGAAAUUAGUAACACACAUACAUCUGAAACGACGUCUCUUGUUCAGUGCUGGUAUUGGUAGGACUGGAACGUACUGCACUAUUCACAAUACAAUCCAGAGAAUCCUUGUUGGAGACAUGUCUGCUUUAGAUCUUGCUAAUACCAUUACCAUUUUUAGGUCUCAGAGAGUUGGGUUGGUUCAAACAAUGGUAUUCUUUUUCCUAAUCUUUUCUUAAGCUUUGAUUUUCUUAAUUCAUUUACAUGGGUUCUAAAAAUGUUUGACUACCAAUUUCAGUUUGUUGACCUAUUGACGUGCUGUCCCUAAUACCAUGAGAAGCAUAAAUGCAUACUGAAAGUAUAGUUUUAUUGCUGAAGACAUCAUUGACAAAUAUUUGGAGAAUUACCUGGUAAUCAAGUCAAAAGCAAUGGUGUGUUACUCCUGAACCAAGCCCUGGAAAAAUAAAUGAUUUUCUGCGGGUUCACUGAGAAAAACUUAAUAUCAAAGUUGCUAAAAUUCAUUUUUGUUUGAAUUUCUUAUUACUGUUUCUCUGUAUCUAUCUCUUCAUGUGUUCCUUCCCCCUUUGCCCCUCCUAGACAGUUCCUUUCUUUCAAUUCUCUAUUCGAUUUACAUCCCAUGAUGGGGGGCAUUAUUUCAUUUUUUUGGUUACUUAAUAGAGAAAAGGGCUCCAAAUUUUUCAUUUGUUUAUUUUGAACCACCAGUUUCCCUUAUUGUUUAUUUACCCCUCCCUAAGUUCUAUUUUUUAUCUGGUUAAGUUCUCCAUCUACAGGAGCAAUAUUUUUUCUGCUACAAAGCUAUCGUUGAUGAACUAGAAGACCUAAUCUCAGAGUGCAAUGAUUGAAGGGCCUCAAAAAUUGUAUGUUUCUAUAGAUUUACAUUUCUUAUAUGCAAGACAUUUAUUUAUGGCUUUGCUUUGUUUGCUUGGUGUUCCUUGUUUCUUGUACGGUAUUACAUGAAAUCAGCGUUGAUACAGCUGAUAAUUCUCAUCUCUUUUAUGGCAGCAGCUGGAUCAAUGAGUGGCGUGUGGUGUUGAAAAAUGCUGGAUUAAAUAUGACAGCUGCUUGCUCAUCUCUUAGAAUCAGGACUGCCAAAUGCAAAUUAAGGAUGCUUAAAUGUGUAGCAGUGUUUGUUGCAGCUCCUACAGCAGCUAGAGGCUUUGGUUAAAUGAGCAAUAUGUCCUGUUGAUAGGGUACUGAAAUCAUAAUUAAAUGAAUUAGAAUUGUAGUCGCUGCAGGAUUAUUUCCUCAUUUUUCCCAGUUUGGAUGCUAAAUGAAGCAACCUAGGGCUUGUAAGGCUACUGCUCCAGGUUGAUUUUUCCCUUCAAUUGUCAAACUGUUGACUUGUCAUGUUCCAAUUUGUAUUAAUUGUGAGCUGGUUCAUGUUGGAAACAGCAAGUCUCAAUUAGAUUGCUUGAGAUUGGUCUAUUUUAUAUUUUUGGUAGUCCUAUGAUCUUAAGCAUCUGCUUUUUGGGAUUCACGAGCACGGCCUAACCUUUUCUUUUUGGUGGACAAAUUUUUUUUUUUAAGGUUUAUGAUAAUUCAUGGUGAAGUUAAAUAUUCGUCAUUUGCCUUAAUCAAGAAGAUUAAUUUAAUUUAGAAAAAUUAAUAGUAAAUUAUAAUAUGGUUUUUAAAAUUUUAUUUGAUUAAUAAAAUAGUUUUUAAAUUAUAUUUUUAUUAUAAUAAUAUUAUUUUUUGCUAAUUUUAUUAUUUACUCUUUAUUUUUAUUUUUAUAUAAUAAUAUAGAUUAUUAAUAAAAUCAUAAAAUAUGAAAAAAAAUAAAAUUUAUAAUUUAAAAUGUAUAAUAUUUAUUUUUUUAGAAUAUUAUUAAUAGAAAGUAAAAUUUUUUAAAUAUAAAAAAAUAUACAUAUGAUUUAUAAUAUUGAGUAUAAGCAUUUAAAUAUAUAUUAUUUAUAUAAUAUAAAAUCUUAAAGACUACUCUAAUUUGUUAUUAAAUUUUACAAAUUUAAUUUAGUCUUUUAAAAACUAUAUUAUAAUUUAUUAUUAAAAUUUUCAAAUUCAAUUUAAUUUUUUUUCAUUAUAAUUAUGAUAAUUUAAAAAUAUUUAAUUUUAUCAUUCAAUAUUUAAAAUAUUAUAUAUAAAUAUAAAUUAUUAUAAAUGUUUAAUUUUUUUAAUUUAACAUAUUUUUCUUUUUAAAUAUUUACACAUGUUAUAAUAUGUGUGUAUAUAUAUAUAUAUGUUAAAGGAAAAAUUAUUUAAGUAAAUUUACUUAAUUUAUAUGAUAUAACGUUCUCAAUUUUAAAAAUAUGUUAAAGUGUUAAUAAAAUUUUAUAAAAUUUAUAAAAAAAUUUAUAAAUUUUAUAAAAAAUUUUAUAAAUUUUAUAAAUUAAUUUAUCUAUUAAUUUUAAUUAUUAAAUGUUACAAAAUUUUUUUAAAAUAUCUCAAUAUAAAUAUAAAAAAAUCAAUUAAUAAAUUUUUUUUAUAAAAUUAGAAGAUCAAUUAAUAUUAAUUUUUUUAUACUAUAAAAAUUAAAUAUUUAAAAUUUUAUAAAUAUUUUAAUAUAUUUUUUAAAAUUAAAAAACUAAUCAAUGAGUUAUAUUAUAAUAAGAACAAAAUAAUAAAUUUCUCACAUUUUGACUAAUUUGAUGAGAAACAAAAAUAUAAAUGACUAGAUAAAUUUAUUUUAAAAAUUUAUAAACUAAGGCAAAUACCUAAUUGAUUUAAAUUUUCAUUGGGCUAAUCUCCUGCUAAACAACUUUGAGAUGUGUAAUGAAUGGAUUAGAAAUUGUAGAUUUCUCAAUAUAAUAAUUUUCUCUUAUCUCAUCUGCAAUUAUUGUCGUAGAGUCAAUACUUUUUUUUGGUUAUCCAAUAUUGACUUGAAAUUUAAAUAAGAACAUCUCCAUUACAAGUUGAACUCUAGUUAAUAUGCUCUUCUUGGAUUUCUUCACAUAUUCAUCGAAUCAAGGAAAAUGAUAAAAAUAAAAUUUAACGCUACAUUUACAAAGAUAUUUAAUUUAGUAAUAAGUGUAUUUCGAUAAAUCUAAAAGAUAUAUCUGACUGUAUUUCAUCGAUUUUUAAUUUUAAUUUAAAAAAAGUUAUAUUUUUUAUGAAAAUUAAUUUAUAUUUAAAAAAUAUUUUUUAUUAAAAAUAUUUUUCUCAUAAAAUAAUUUAUUUUUUAUUAUUUAAUUUUAAUUUAAAAAUAAAAUAUAUUAACAAAUUUAUCCAUAAAAUUAAUAAAAUUCUCAAAAUAUGAAAAUUAUUAUUUUUUAAUUAAAGAAAGAGAACUAAAUUUUCUUUAAGUUAGCUUAUUUUUUUAUUAAAAAAUAUUUUAUAUUAAUUAAAUUUUACACUUACUCUAUUUUUUAAAUAUUUUCCAAAUACAAAAGUUAAAAUUAUAAACUUGCUAUAAUUUUUUAAUCUAUCUAUUUUCUUUUCUUUUCUUUUUUAAAUCAUUAGAAAGAUAAAUUUAUUUUUACUCCUAUUUCUUUUUAUCCAAAUAAGAGAAAAAAACAAUAAAGUAAGAAUAUUUCCUUUUUUUCCAUGCUUUUUUUUCACUUAAAAAAAAAGAUUUCCGAAUAGAUAUAAAAAAUAAUGUUAAAAAAGGCUUUUACUUUAAAAAAGAGAAAAAGAGAGUGCAUAGUACGUGUAAUCCACGCGCCAACGAUGAGAGUGGACAAUGUGGAAACAGCAAAACCAGUAAACCAUGGUUAAGUAGUAGAGAAGUGUGAAGUGUAUUAGGUUUGGGGUUUUGACUACAAUCUCUCUCUCGCUCUCUCUCUCUGCUUGCAAUGUGUGUGAUUUGGUUUUGACAGUGCCAGAGGGGCUGACACCAAUCUUACACUCUUUCUCUCUGCGCCUUCUCAGCUUCUCUUCUUCCCUCUCGCUUCUCUGUCAUUUUCCCUUCUCUAUCUCUCUCUAAAGUUUCAAUUUUUGUUUAUGCAUUUUCUGAUCUCUCUUUCUCUCUCUCUCUUUCUAGUUGUGUCUCUAUCUGGGUCUGCUUCUGUCUUUAUUAGAAACAAACACGAACGGGAAUCUCUGCUAUCUUUUCUCAGAUUUCUAUCACGACCUGGUAAGCUUUAUCUAUCUAUUUUGUACUGUUUUGUUUUUAAGUAUAUCCUAAUUUGCUAUAGUAGUCUUGAUUUAUCCUUGCACUUGGCUGUGGUUUGUGGGUUUUUCUUGUUUUUAUCGGCUGCUUAUCUAAAUUGCGUUUGAUGUGGAUUUUUAUUCUUAAUUUCUGCUUUUUCUGCUCAUAUUUUGAACUGGGUAUUCUUUGUCUUUUCCUAAUUUUGAUACUUACUUUAUUUUGCUUUUCUUUCUCUCUUUGGUAUAUUAGUGGCUAUUUAUGUGCUGGCUGUUUCAUUGAUUUGCAGUGCUGGUGACUCGGUGUUAAUGGAUUGGAGUUCCAAUGGUGAUCAAAAUUGGUACUGUGGUAAUUUUGAUGCGGCAAGAGACUGCAUUUUUGGAUUCGAAGUGAUAUAGAUAAAUUCUGCGGUAUAUUCCAAAGGGUGUUCAAGGAUUUUUGUAAUCCUUGUAAAUAAACUAGCUUCUUGGUUUUUGCAUGGAAACUUGGGGCAAAAGUUGAAGUCUAAUCUUCACAGUGAUCAUCGCAAUGGGCGGGCUUUGCUCGAGGAGUUCGACUGUAGAUAAUGCUCCCAGUGGAGGCUUUCCGCAUGUGAAUGGACAUUUUAAUGCCUCAGGCUUGGUUUAUCAGUCUCGUGAAUUGAAAAUAAGUAGCAAUACGACUACAUCUCCAGUAGGGGAGAAUGUGGAAAAUAAGCAAGUAAGAGAACCCUUUUCAUUUCCAGAGGUAAAUGCAGUUCCUUCGUAUGGGAUGAGUGCGGAUGAUAUUGAUGAUGGCAUUCCUCGUUUGUCAAGGGCUCUAUCAAAUAAAUCUAGAUCAACCAAGUCUAAGCAGGCAGCUGUUGCAAAGGUAUGUGUACAUGUUAUUUGAAUAAUACUUGUGAUUCAAGUUAUAUUUUACUUGCUUCAUUGUCUUUUGGCUUUUAGCUUUGCCUUGUUACAUUUUAAGCAAGAAUCUGUUGUUCUAUUAUGCAAGAUGUACUAUUAGAGGGUUUUUUGAUAUACAUCCUUUUAGUUUUGUAUAGUCUCCUAUUACGUUGUUGCUGCUGAAACAUUCUGACUCAAGUUCCUAACUGAAUCCAUUAGAAUGGAAGAUGUUAAAAGGUGAAAUCACUUAAAUUUUUAUAAUGCUAAAACCAUGGGACUGUUCUCAAUCACUACUAACUUAAUGUCUAAAAUUUUAACAUCUGACAGUAAAAGUAGAAAAUUCGAUCUCUUUCUAUCUCUCUUUCCUUAAAAUUUUCUUGUUAUUUGUUUCUCCCCCUUUUGUUUUUCUGAACAUGGUUUUGCAAUUUAAAAAUUGCAGUAAAUUGGAUCAGUAUCCUGAAUUUUUGUUUUAAGAAAGUUACAUGUGAUUCUUGGCCAUGGAGAAUAAAAACUGAAGUGCAGAGAUGAGCAUGUGUCUUUUUNNNNNNNNNNNNNNNNNNNNNNNNNNNNNNNNAAAAACUUGACUGCAAUCUCAUCAUUCUGUUGUUGCUGAUAUGCUUGUUGUUGGUAACUUCAUGCUUAUGUAUAAACCACUUCUCCAAUGACAAUUAUUUAGUUGAAAGGAAGAGCAUGUAUUGUGGUUGUCUUUGUGGGGAACUAGGGUUUAUAAAUUGGAAACUUCAGCUGCAAACCAGUCAAUUCUUUGUCAGUCACCGAGCAUCUACCUAAGAAUAAUUUGUCACACCAUUUAUAUCUUCUGUGCUUUUCUCUGAACAAUUUACACAUUUUAAGUCAGGGAAUUGUAAAUCACAGUAGAGAAUGUAAAUUCGCAAAGUUGAGUUGGGUCCUUUUUGCAAUAGUUUAAACUAGAACUAAAUACUUAAUAUUCCACUUUCAAACUCUAGAAAAUAAUUAAAAUGCAUUGGUUCUUACAGAUACAGUAUACUUUUCCUUUCCUCAAUAUUUCUUGUGAUUGUAAGUAGGAAAAUUCCAAACAUAGUUUGAACUUGAGCAAUGAACACCGAAGCCUCUUAGAAGACAUAAAAUUGUCUUAAAUUACCAAAAACACCUCUUAAAAUUGAAGGAAUCACAAAAUAUACAGUUCUACCACUAUUCAAAUUGCACUCAUAAUUUGUUUGGAAUCCCCAAAUUGAAAUUUCUUUGAACUUAAGGCCCUAUUUAGCUCUGGGUUAAAGGAAAGGUAAAUAAUUAUUUAGUUCUUAAACUCCAACGUCUUUUGUUGCUCUUUUUUUUUUUUAACAAAGUUUUAAUCCAUCACUCUGAGUAUCAAAACAAUCAGUAAUUUUAUGUCGUCAUUAAAAUCCCAUCUAAAUAUUCCAAAAACAUAAACUCUACGUUCAAGUUUUGUGGAGUCAAAACUUAAAUGGCACUUAAGGUUCAACUUAAAGUCUUAAACCAAAUUUUCCACCUCAAAACCCUAGCUUGGUGCGGCACCAGUGCUUGUGCUUUGCAUUGUACCUGAUUGUCUAUCUGCUCUCAUGUGGAUCUUAUGAGGGAUGGCUUGUUUCCGGAAGAUAGGAAUUCCGAUGCCGGGGUCUAGCCGGGUAUUAUAGUGUCAGAUCCGGGCAAGGUUCUUAAUGAGCCUGAUGUGGAGAUCCUAGGAGAUCUCACUUAUGUUAAGCAGCCAGUGCGGAUCAUAGACACGCAGAUCAGGAAGCUGAGAAACAAGAAACAAGAAACAAGGAAAUCCCGAUGGUGAAAGUCCUUUGGGAUCACCAUAAUAUGGAAGAGUGCACCUGGGAGACACGGGAGUCCAUGCUCUAGCAAUACCCUUAUCUAUCAAGCUACUAAAUUUUGCCUAUAAAACUGUAGUCUUGAAAUGUUCCUGUUGUUUUCUUUUUCUAAUUUACUAUGUUGUUUGGUUUAUGUUUGUACAAUAUGGUAAUGUGAACAAAUAGGGGGUUUGAACAAGAAUAAUAAGGGAUUAAAUAGGUAGUGGUAUUUUGGGGAUGAAUGAAUAUGUUUUGUGAAGAAAGGUUAGUUUUGGAAGAAAAAUUAGUUGUCUCUCAUUUGACCUUAUCCAUUGUCAUUGACUAAUGGAAAUUUAGAGUUAAUUUUGUAUCGACGGCUUGGGAGAUUAACAGAAUUAAACAUGAUGUAUUUACUAAUUGAGUUUUGAAAAUAAAGGGACCAAUUAAUUAUAUUGGCAAACCUAGAGACUAAUAAUUAUUUACCCUUAAGGGAAUAUACUAAUAGCAUUGGAAAAUAUAGAAUUGAUUUUAUGUGAUCUUUGUGAUUUUACUUUGGUUUGAGGAAGUAUCAAGCAUGAAUACAAGGUUGGUGGCAUCAACUAAAGCAUUGGAUCAUCUUUUGCCUUUAUUUUGUUUCUUUAAUAGUAAUCCUGCUGGAGUUUUCUUUCUUUAUUAACUUUUAGCAAGUUGAACUGACCAUUAGAUAUCCUAUUAUUCCUCUUUAAUCAAAUACUCAAAAUUGCAUGAAGCUAACCACAUUUCUGUAACCUUGAGCCCUCCUUUUUAUUUGUCUUGAAAGUCCUCAAAAUUCAUAAGCAACAAAUAUGAAAAAGUGGUCAAGAAAACUCGGUGCUUCUCAAAAGUCCAAACUUUGAAAAACUAGUUCAACAAGCUAGUUUCUUUGGCUGGAAGGAUUUGAGACAAACAUCAGGAGAGUAUAUGAAAGGUUUUUGAUGAAUUGUAGAAGGUUUCUUCUUGGUAUAUAUUCUUUAUAAUGGAUAAUGAAGUCAAGAAGUGGGUAGGGAUAUAGUACAUUCCUCACCUUGAGUUGGUUGUCUAGCACACUUCUAUUAAGUUGGAAAUGUCAUUGCAAACAACCACUUAGAAACGGUCAAAGUUGUGGCUUUGCUUAAUCCUGCUGGAGUUUUCUUUCUUUAUUAACUUUUAGCAAGUUGAACUUGACCAUUAGAUAUCCUAUUAUUCCUCUUUAAUCAAAUAUUCAAAAUUGUAUGAAGCUAACCACAUUUCUGUAACCUUGAACCCUCCUUUUUUUUUCUUGAAAGUCCUCAAAAUUCAUAAGCAACAAAUAUGAAAAAGUGGUCAAGAAAACUUGGUGCUUCUCAAAAGUUCAAACUUUGAAAAACUAGUUCAACAAGCUAGUUUCUUUGGCUGGAAGGAUUUGAAACAAACAGCGGGAGAGUAUAUGAAAGGUUUUUGAUAAAUUGUAGAAGGUUACUUCUUGGUAUAUAUUCUUUAUAAUGGAUAAUGAAGUCAAGAAGUGGGUAGGGAUAUAGUACAUUCCUCACCUUGAGUUGGUUGUCUAGCACACUUCUAUUAAGUUGGAAAUGUCAUUGCAAGCAACCACUUAGAAAAGGUUGACGUUGUGGCUUUGCUUUUCUCUGCAUGAUGAUAAAGGCUGUUGUGUUUUUGGUGGUUGUUUAUUAUUGGUUGUUGUGUGAUAACCUUAAUAACUUCUAAAUGGGCUAAAGUUACAAGGCCUACUCUCAAUUAUAGGGUUUUUUUUUUUCAUUUUUAAUCUUAUUUUGUUUUAAAAAAUAAAUCUAAUUAUUUUUUUUAGUGUCAUUAAACUAUUUUGUAUAGAAAGAUAUGCUUAUUGUUUUUGUUGAUUUUGUUUAUGUUAUUUACAUAAUUUAUCCGUCGUGUCUAAAAUUUUAUUCAUAUUCCCAUAUUUUCCAUUUAGGAGCUUACAAGUCUAACACAUGGAUACCCAUCCAUUUUUUUUGCUCAAAACCGAGUGCAAGUAACAUAGCUUAAUACAUAAAAGUCCAUAUUUAUAGUGUAGGAUACAAGAUGUAUAUGGCAUACUAUCAAUAGAACGCGAAUCACUCCUUUAUACAAGCAUCAAUCAACUCAUGGAUUUUUUCUAAUCAAUCACAUGAUUUUCAUAAUCAUGUGAUACUUUCGUAUCCAUCAUGUGAUACUUUCGUAUCCCCUGUCAAGUUGUGCAUGGAGUUUAGUUUUCUUAUUGUCUUGAGUUUCAACCAAUUAGUUUUUUUCAUUUGAUAAUGUAGUUAAAAUGAUUAGCUCAUUGACCAAAGAAUAUUGUUGGCACUUGGCCAAAAAACUAAGCCUAAGGCAAUAGAAGCAGACAUGAGGGAUGCAAGAGUUGCUAGGGUUAACACUUAGCACAAAAGACUCGGAAUAUGACCAUGAUGGCUUAAGCUUUGUCUUGCCAAUUUCUAAGUGUGCAUGAAUCUUGUUGUUGAUUUCUCGUUAGAUAUAGCUCUUAGGCAUUAACUUGGCAUAUAUUUAAGUUUUGUGGCAAGAGGAACCCAUUUUUGCACCUUCUGAUCUCAAAGUCUAGAGGUCAUUGUGAAGCAAUCAACAAGGCAUUUAUUAGCCUUGGCCAUUUUAACAGAGGGCAAAGAGAUAUUGGCGGAUUUCACUAUACUUCUUGACAUAUUAAAACCUUGGUCCAAGUUUUGAGAGAUCUCACAUUCAUGUAAAGCCCUGUAAGACAACUUCAACAUUGACUAGGUGAUGACUCCUAUUGGCUGAUUUUUGUCUAUUGGUAAUCCCUUUUCCAAUUUUCGUGUUAAGCGUUUGAAGCUCAAAGCAAUCGAAAAUAAACUCGAUGAGACAUUAGGUCUUGGACUUUGCUAAAAUGCCUUGGGCAGCUAUAGCGAGCUUGUGAUAACUUCUCCAUAUUUCAACAUUGGGGAAACAUUCUUGGUCGAUUUUAGGUUUUGGUACUUCAACACUUAAGCUGUCGAGGCACAACAUAAAAUCUCAGAGCAAAUAAAGUCUAAUGCAACAAGUUACGAAACUUUGAAGACAUAAAAAGCUUUGAAUGGCUAAUUACUAGUAUGGAGAGUCCAAACUAGUCAAUUUUGACUUGGGAUCAUUGCUUAGAGUGAUAUGAGACUUGGCAUAAGUUUUCAUAGUGAUUGGGGGUUAACGUGAAAAGUUCCAAGCCAUAGAAGAAUGGAAGAGCCUUGAAACUAUGAUGUUAUGGAGCAAUAUUUCCUAUUGUAGGAAGGAGUAGAUUAGGGAGAAAUAGAGAAAGAAAAUGAUAGGAAUAGAAGAAGAAAAGAAAUAGAGAAAGAAACAUAACUUAGAUGAGAGAGAUUAGAGUGGGGAAAUAAUACAAUCUUAAUUUUUCUUGGAGUGAUCCUUUCUAGCAAAUAGACAGUUAAUUCAGUGAUAAGAGUAAUUAUUACCACAACUUAACCUACCUUCUCUAAUAGUCUAGCUCCAAUUGGAACUUUUAAACCCCUUUUCACUAGAGCCAAAAUAGUUUAGCCAAGUUAUUUCUAGUAGCUGGAUCAAGGUUGUAUAUACCUUUUCAAUUUUUCAUUUCCAAAUCCCAAUUGAUGUAGGAAUUUGUUCUAAGCGGUGGCCAAGAUGUUACAUUCUCUCACUUAAUUUUGCGACAUUCUUAUCUCAAUCUUUCUAUGCCAUAUCAAGUAUACUUGGUAACUCAGGAUUGAACCCUCGUGAAUUAUGGUUUGCAAGUGACUCGAGCGGCUUUACUUUGUCCUGUAAGUAGCUCCUUUCCUUGUAGAUCUACUAGCUCCACACAAUUUUCUAAUUCAAGAUGGCUUUGAUACAAAUUAUAACAGUCCAAUCAAAAUAACUUUGGAAUUAUUUUUUUACGUGGCUCAAAAUGAUUAACCAAAGUUAUCUCUAGUAGAUGGACCAAGGUUAUAUGUGCACUUUCAAUUUUCCAUUUCCAACCUAUGUAUAAAUUUGUCCCAAGCGGUGGACGUUACACCUUUGGUUUUCCCUAACUAAUUCUUAGUUAUAUCUUCUUAUUCUACUCUUUUCCCUAUACAAUUUCUUAUUCUCCUUUUAGUGAUAACGUAUUCUCGUAGGAUAAGGUAGGCCAGUGACGAUUCCAAUCCAGCUGAUUUUGACUUAGAAUAAUUCUUAUGAUGAUAUGAGGCUCAACAUAAAAUUUAGAGUAAUUGGAGAUUGGUGUGACAAGCUUAAAGCCCUAGAAUCAUCAAAGGUACUUGUAGAUGGCCAUGGAGUCUAAAUAAUAAAGCCAUGACCAUUUUUGCUAAGGUAAAACCUUUCAUGGCUGAUUGACGUCCCCAAAGUAGCCUUGGAAAUUGUCUUUCUUUCCAAUGAUGCAACAGUGCGUGAGACACGUAAAGCAAAAAAGAAAGUUGCAUCUUGAUGAAAGUUUAAGACUAAUAGAGUUCUAUAGGCUGCUACUUUGCUGAAAAAAUAGUAAUUAGGCCUUAAUCCCAAACUAGUUUUUACUGGCUAUAUGGGACAAUUUUUUGCUGUUCAAUUUUAUUUGAAACCAAUUCCUCACCAAUAUCUGAAAAUUUUAAAUAUUAUGAUACUGCUCCACGACAUUUUAGGUCUCUUUUUUCCUUCUAACUUCUUGCACAACUAACUUAUCACAAGUCUGUACUGGGGCAUUUGAUAUUUUAUGUUGGCUAUAACGAACCAUCUUAAUCGAUCUUCACUCAUUUUUUUCCCAAUGUGUGUUAGGUGCACACUGAUAGACGUGAUCAUUCCUAAUAUUAUCCAUUAUCGUGUUACUAGACAUCCAUCUUAACAUCCACAUUUCUACUGCACUCAUAUUAUGCAUAUAUUGUACCUUGUAUGCCCUAUGUUCACUCCCAUACAUCUAUUGUUCUAUAGAACUUACCUGCCAUUUUGUUAGGUAUAGCACACUUGUUGCACUUCUCCAUUUCAUCUAUCUUGUUUUGAUCCUAUUAGUUAUAUCCUUAUUUAUUUCACCAUUCUUCUGAAUAAUAGAACCUAAAUAUUUGAAUAGGUACGCAUUUUGGCACCAAAUUUCAUCUGAUCAAAUCUCUCUUUCUCCUUCUAUGGGAGUUGAGCUCAAAAUGCAUAUAUCCUUCUUAUUUCUAUGUAGCAAAAACCCUAACAAUCAAGUAUCCUUCUCUGUGACUUCAAUUUUGGAUUGGAGGAUGCUUCUUAGAGGUUUUGCUAGCUGCUUCAUUUCUAUCUAUUCCAAGCCGAAGUGAAUUGUUCCAUCAUCAUGAGACUGUUGGUGCUAUAGAUGGUCAACACAGACCAUUGUCAUGCCCACAACAUAUAGAUAUCCUUUACUCGAUUAAGUGCCAUUACCAUAGUCUAACUAUAGGCAUCAACAGGUAUGUAGUAACUUAAAACAUUAGUAUAAGCAAACAUGUUAAAUUCAGUGUUAUGAAAGGUAUGGUAGAAGGGGCACCAGGUGCCUGGGCCGUAGCCCUGCAUAACCCCAAGUGGGCGAUGUGGCCUAUGUGCACUAGGAGCGCCAGAUACCAGGUGUGGAUGAGGCACACUUGCGGCAUCUUGAUCUUAUAUAUAUAUAUAUAUAAAAUUGUCCUACCACCUUAUAACAGCAGCAACAGGACAGGGAAGAAAAAGAAGAAGAGGAGGAAGUAGGAGAAAAAACUUAUCUUCUCUAUUGCAUGUUGCUAGAAAAAUCACAGAUCAGGUUCUUUUUCCUCCUCUUCUUUUAUUGCCGGCAUGCUGCCCUUCUAUCUAAUAUUUUUAAUAUUAAAAGUUAAGCAAAUUAAUUAAUUUAUUUAAGACAUAUGCACUUAAACUUGUAAAUUUUUUUGAUUAGAUGAAAAUGAAAUUGAAGAAUUUUAGGAAAAAUUUUGAGUAUUCUUGUAUUUCACUCUUAAUCUUUACAAUUGGUCUACAUGACUAUUUAUACACAGAGAAUCAUAUCUAAACAGGAAGCAAAUAAUCAAAUAAUAAUUACAGAGAUAAUUAAGGAUCCUAAUUAGAUCAAAUCAAAUCUUUAGAAUCAGCUAGGAUUAGUAAAUAAGUCAACACUCCCCCUCAAGUUGGUGCAAAGAUGUCACACAUGCCCAACUUGCAAAUCAAAUUAUGGUAGAUCUUGUUGUUAAGUCCUUUAGUAAACACAUCCGCAAGUUGCCCCGUAGAAGUCACAUGAACUAGGCUCAAGAUACCGUCUAUUAAUUUUUCUUUAAUGAAGUGCCGAUCAAUUUCAAUGUGCUUGGUUCGGUCAUGUUGGACUGGAUUUUGUGCUAUACUUAUAGCAGCUUUAUUGUCACAAUACAAGGUUAUCUUGUCUCUCUCGAACAAUCUCAACUCUUCCAAUAACUUCUGCAACCAUAAGAGUUCACAUACUCCUUGGGCCNNNNNNNNNNNNNNNNNNNNNNNNNNNNNNNNNNNNNNNNNNNNNNNNNNNNNNNNNNNNNNNNNNNNNNNNNNNNNNNNNNNNNNNNNNNNNNNNNNNNNNNNNNNNNNNNNNNNNNNNNNNNNNNNNNNNNNNNNNNNNNNNNNNNNNNNNNNNNNNNNNNNNNNNNNNNNNNNNNNNNNNNNNNNNNNNNNNNNNNNNNNNNNNNNNNNNNNNNNNNNNNNNNNNNNNNNNNNNNNNNNNNNNNNNNNNNNNNNNNNNNNNNNNNNNNNNNNNNNNNNNNNNNNNNNNNNNNNNNNNNNNNNNNNNNNNNNNNNNNNNNNNNNNNNNNNNNNNNNNNNNNNNNNNNNNNNNNNNNNNNNNNNNNNNNNNNNNNNNNNNNNNNNNNNNNNNNNNNNNNNNNNNNNNNNNNNNNNNNNNNNNNNNNNNNNNNNNNNNNNNNNNNNNNNNNNNNNNNNNNNNNNNNNNNNNNNNNNNNNNNNNNNNNNNNNNNNNNNNNNNNNNNNNNNNNNNNNNNNNNNNNNNNNNNNNNNNNNNNNNNNNNNNNNNNNNNNNNNNNNNNNNNNNNNNNNNNNNNNNNNNNNNNNNNNNNNNNNNNNNNNNNNNNNNNNNNNNNNNNNNNNNNNNNNNNNNNNNNNNNNNNNNNNNNNNNNNNNNNNNNNNNNNNNNNNNNNNNNNNNNNNNNNNNNNNNNNNNNNNNNNNNNNNNNNNNNNNNNNNNNNNNNNNNNNNNNNNNNNNNNNNNNNNNNNNNNNNNNNNNNNNNNNNNNNNNNNNNNNNNNNNNNNNNNNNNNNNNNNNNNNNNNNNNNNNNNNNNNNNNNNNNNNNNNNNNNNNNNNNNNNNNNNNNNNNNNNNNNNNNNNNNNNNNNNNNNNNNNNNNNNNNNNNNNNNNNNNNNNNNNNNNNNNNNNNNNNNNNNNNNNNNNNNNNNNNNNNNNNNNNNNNNNNNNNNNNNNNNNNNNNNNNNNNNNNNNNNNNNNNNNNNNNNNNNNNNNNNNNNNNNNNNNNNNNNNNNNNNNNNNNNNNNNNNNNNNNNNNNNNNNNNNNNNNNNNNNNNNNNNNNNNNNNNNNNNNNNNNNNNNNNNNNNNNNNNNNNNNNNNNNNNNNNNNNNNNNNNNNNNNNNNNNNNNNNNNNNNNNNNNNNNNNNNNNNNNNNNNNNNNNNNNNNNNNNNNNNNNNNNNNNNNNNNNNNNNNNNNNNNNNNNNNNNNNNNNNNNNNNNNNNNNNNNNNNNNNNNNNNNNNNNNNNNNNNNNNNNNNNNNNNNNNNNNNNNNNNNNNNNNNNNNNNNNNNNNNNNNNNNNNNNNNNNNNNNNNNNNNNNNNNNNNNNNNNNNNNNNNNNNNNNNNNNNNNNNNNNNNNNNNNNNNNNNNNNNNNNNNNNNNNNNNNNNNNNNNNNNNNNNNNNNNNNNNNNNNNNNNNNNNNNNNNNNNNNNNNNNNNNNNNNNNNNNNNNNNNNNNNNNNNNNNNNNNNNNNNNNNNNNNNNNNNNNAAUUGAAUUUAGACCCAAAAAAUCAGAAAAAGGCUCUGAUACCAUGAAGAAUUUUAGGGAAAAUUUUGAGUAUUCUUGUAUUUCACUCUUAAUCUUUACAAUUGGUCUACAUGACUAUUUAUACACAGAGAAUCAUAUCUAAACAGGAAGCAAAUAAUCAAAUAAUAAUUACAGAGAUAAUUAAGAAUCCUAAUUAGAUCAAAUCAAAUCUUUAGAAUCAGCUAGGAUUAGUAAAUAAGUCAACAGAAAUUAAGUUCUUUCAUUUUUUUUUCUAAAGCUUGAUUAUUAAUAUCUUUUCUUUUUAUUUUGUAAAAUUAGCAUGAAAUAAGAGUAUGAUUGCCUUUUUAAUUACUUUCUUAGUAUUAUAUUAUUUAAUAAAGAUAAUCAAUAAAUGUAUGUGAUUUGUGACAAAAUUUUAUUAUGUUAAUAAAAUUUUUUAUGACCACGAAAGCAAAUAAAUUUAAAUAAUUAUCUUGUGCUAUUUGAAUUUUGAUAUUAUUCAUAUUUAUUAACUUUUUUAUUAUUAUUCUUUUAAUUUUGCACUUUAUUUCACCCAGGUGCACGCCUACGUCUUGUGUCUAGGGCUCUAGGCUAAGCCCUUAGCGCAAUAGUGCACAUUUUGCCUUUGAUAACUAUGGUUAGGUUACAGUAAAUUUUAUGCAAAUACAGUUGAUUGACUCGACUUUUGAAAUAUCCGGUCCUACGAUGACCUUGGUUGAACAAAUGGGCCCAUGAUUUAUGUUUCUAUGAAACUUGGCUAUGUGAUUGCCUUGGGUUUUUCACUUCUUUGGGGGCAUUAGAUGGCUGUAAUGCUUGGACUGAUGGUUGCAAUUGUAAUUCUUCAAAACUGUUAUUGAUGAUUUAUUACUUUCUAUAAAAUAGAAUGAGAGAAUGUUAUGUACUUGGUAGUUCUUGGGUCACAUAGUUGCAGUUUGAAACUGAGACCUCCAAGAUGAAGUUAUAUGUUUUAAACCACCAUUCUGUUUCUUCAGAGUCUUUGGGAGCAAAAUCUGCAUGUAUUUGCCAUGGUUGGUAUUCUGCAAUUUAUCAUGCAGCCUGGCAAUUGAUGUUCUGCAAAUAUGCUUGUUCUGCUAUUAUCUAAUUGAAUCACCGAGUUGUUUGAGUUGUUUUUGUUUACAGGUUUCAGAAGUGAGCUCACUUUUGGGCAGAGCUGGGACUGCUGGGCUUGGGAAGGCAGUGGAAGUGUUGGACACACUUGGGAGUAGCAUGACGAAUUUAAAUCUCAGCAGUGGUUUUACCUCGGGAGUGACAACAAAAGGGAAUAAAAUUUCAAUUUUGGCGUUUGAAGUUGCUAAUACAAUUGUUAAGGGUUUCAAUCUGAUGCAGUCCCUUUCAAAAGAAAAUAUUAAGCAUCUAAAAGAGGUUGUGCUUCCCUCGGAAGGGGUGCAAAAUUUAAUAUCAAGAGAUAUGGAAGAACUCUUGAGAAUUGCUGCUGCUGACAAGAGGUACGCAAUGCAGCUAUAUCAAUUUGAAAAUUUAUUUCACUCAUGUUUUAUUUGCUAUAGCUUUAAUAGUAGAUAUCUGAAGAGGAAAUAUUAAGCAAUUUUGAUUAGCGGUGACCAGUAUUUGAUUCAAACCGGAAAAACUGACCGAAUUGAAUUAAUUGGAAAAUUUGGUUUGGUGUUUAAAGAAAUUUGGUUCAGUUCACUUUUAACUUUCAUGUAUUUUGGUUUAUUUAGUUCGGUUUUGGGAGAAAAAAAGAUCUAAAACUAUGCAAACUAAAUAAAUAUAAUACAAAGGAAAAGUUAUUGCAACUUCUCUUAUGUGGCGAAAUGGUAAGUUGCAAAUUCCUGAGCACCCAGGUCCCAUGUUUGAUACUAGCCUAAGCCUUCUUUUAUAUUGCUUAUUUUCAUUAAACCUAAAUCAGUACUAACCAUUUAUCUAGAAAUAAUCUCAGCCAUCCAAAUCCUCAUUUAUAAACACAUUUUUUACAGACCCUACAUUCUUCAUCACCUUCCUAUGCAGCCCACCUCCCUUUCUCUCUGUUUUUUUUCAGUCUUUUGUUCUCUUCUUCCCAUCUCCUCUACUUCUCCACUUAAGAGUUACAAACUUACAAGUUUUGGUCGUCUUCUUAUUUCUUUCUCCUCCCUUAUUUCCCCUUUCUUUCUUUGUCAUUUGUUGUGAAUCUGCAUGCACUUCCUUGGCUCAGCAUUGCAGCACCUCCUCAUAGCUCCUACUGGCAGCAAUGCAACAAAACCUGUUUGCAGCACUGAAGACCGACAGAAAUGCAGCCCAGCAGAUCCGCUUGCUCACAACUCCGGCCAUUUUUCUCCUUUUUCCUCUGUAAUAUAUAAUACUGAUCUUGUUAUUUGCUUGUGAUUUUGAGUUAUUCUCAAAAGAUUGUGAUUUUGAGUUGAAUCAGUUAAUGGAUUUUAUUUGUAACUUUUUUUUUUUUUUUAGAUAUUUAUUUGAAUUUAUGACUAUCUGAUUGACUUGUAAUGUUUACAUAUGACUUGAAUAAAAGAACUGAAUAUAUAAAACCAAAUGGAGCCUAUUUAUUUUGGUUCAAUUCCAUCCAAUUGUAUAUAGUUCGCUUUUAAUUUUAAAUGCAAUUUCAUUUUUUUUUGUUGAAACCAAAAUGGCCAAAUGCUCAACCCUAAUUUUGAUCUAAUUCUGGCAGAGAAGAAUUGAAAGUUUUUUCUGGAGAAGUGGUGCGUUUUGGAAAUCGUUGCAAAGAUCCUCAAUGGCACAACUUGGAGCGAUACUUUGAAAAGUAAUUCUCAUGGCAUCCGCAUUCAGUAUCUUACUUUUUCCCAAUUUUCAAAUAAGGCUCUCGUUUUAUUCUUUAUUAUUAUUUCUACUUGUUAGGUUGGGUUCAGAGCUCACACCUGAAAAGCAAUUGAAGGAAGAAGCAGAUAUGAUGAUGCUGCAAUUGAUGACUUUUGUUCAAUAUACAGCUGUGAGUACUCGGUGUUGCUAACUUGCUAUUGUACAGACAAGCUGCCUUAGGUCAUGGCUUUAGCAUACAUUGCAUCUUCUUUUUGUGAUAAUUAGGGUAGUGUUUGACAGUAUUUUUUGUUUCUUUAGGGUAAGCAGAAAAGGCUUGGAUGAACUCCCUGUUUUAAUUUGAGUUUACUUCAGUCUUCAUUUUUCCAUUUCUAUUUUCAUUCCCUUUUAAAGGUGGGUUUGGAGUGAUGUUAAUGUUGCUCCACUGUGUCCAGGACCUAGAGGUCAUGGGUUUAUAGCACAGAAACAGAAGGUUGCAUACCUUUGACCUUUUCUACAGCCUUGAUGCAGGAAGUGUCAGGCACUAGGGCACUCUUUAUCUCUCUUUCCCUUUUCUGUUUGAACUUUGAUGUGGUUCGGUUAUACAUAUAUCCUAUUUAAUAAAAAAAGCUUUCAACUUCCGGAGUUGGGGAAUGAUGCUUAACUGGUUUUUUCAAUGGUGCAUCCUCACUGACGAAGGACUUUAACUUCGUUUGCUAUUAUUGUUUUUAAAUUUAUACUUUUUGGUAUAUAAUUCAUGCUUGACAUGCUAAGAUUUUUGGUUAGUGUUGGCAAUGUCCAUUGUCCAAACUCCAAAAUGCUAGUGGAAACUAAAAUGAUGUUGGUACAUGUAGGUAUAGAUUUGCUUGGGCACUCUUACCAAGUGAAAGAUAUGUGGAACUAAAUAUAAUUGCAUUUCAAAUGCAUCAAGUAAAACACCAGGAAUAGCUUUGUACUUGUCAUCCGACCUUUUAAUUGUAUACUGGUCUCUAGGGGGUCUGCUGUUUGUGUUCCUAGUUGUUCAGUUUGUGCAGUUGAUAUGCCAAAAUGUUGAAUCCUUUAUAUGUCGCCAGCUUUUAUUGUUCUCUGAGGUGAAGUGCAUCUGUCCUAUUCAACUUUGUUCAAAAGGCAUGUGAUUUUCUUUUGGAUGACACGUCCCUUUGCAUAUUUGUUGUAUAGAAUACGGACCCUAACUCCCACAAUUUGGUAUCUAUCUGGGUCUCAUCCUUAUAGUGGAAGGGCGGAUUAGCCUUAGCUGGUCAGUUCUCACCUCAGCCAAUGGUAACGUGUAUCUGAUUGAACUUUUGAAAGACUUUCUGAAACAAGUCUUAGUCAUCUAUUGCAUUGCUGAGUCAUCAUCUUCUAGCUAGCAAGCAGGAAAUCAUGUUAAAAAACAAUGUGAAAUGCAGUUUUAUAUGCAUAGAAAAAUCAUUGCCUACUAAACCAAAAGUUUGAAGUAUUAUAAGCCACUUUGACCUAAUAUUUACAGUGGAGAGAAAUCCUUCUUCCGCAAAAUCCUUCUGUCUCUUUCCUUCCACAAAAUACAUCAAAUAGUUACAGGGACUAAAGCUUAUUCGUGCAGUAGUUUAAUGAUAUACAAACUGCCCCAAGCCCACAAUCAUAUUGCACGAUAACACUUCUGAUGUGCUCACAAUGUAUUUUUCUUUUUCUUGAUUGCAGGAAUUAUAUCAUGAAAUGCAUGCCUUGGACAGAUUCGAACAAGAUUACCGACGUAAGCUUCAAGAAGAUGAUAACUCAAAUGUUGCUCAAAGAGGUAAGUAACAGCUUGAGUUUCAAUUUUUAUGCAUUUCUCUUUUAAUAGUUUUUAUUAUUGACUGAAGAACAGAUAGUUGGGAAAGAACAGACAUUUAUUAACACCUGUUCAUCUUUAGUUUCGAUAAUGGACAAUCAUCCAUAGGGGUUUGUAGGAUAAUUUGAUUUCUUAUCGAGCCUCUGAGAUCUGAUGGUUCAGAAAGUUUCAAGUGUAUGGAUGGCUGGAAGUAUAGAUCUAGAGGCAAUUUCUGUAUAGCAUAAUUUUAUUAGGAGAAAGAUGAGCGCGAUGCAAAUGCAGAAUUAAUGUCACUCAUGCAAAUCCGUGGACAUUUCUGUUUUUCCUUCCUUCAUUUGCAGGAAAUAGGAUUGGUUAUGUGUCCUUUUAUUUUUGGGGAAGCUUGUGAGAAGAGAUUGUUCCAUCUACUAAUAAUAUGUUGUAGAUAUGGAGACUUAACUAUGUUUUCUUUUUGGGACACGUUUUAUUUGCUUGCUUACUUAUGGAAUCUACGACUUCUUUUAACAUUGUUUGAUUACUUGAAAUAUUUAGAAUGGUUUUUUUAUAUGUAUAUUCCGCAAUCAUGGGCUUUGACUGCAGAAUUUGAAUCAUUGUUCCCUCUUUUCAGGGGUUCUAGGAGGAAAGAUAGAAAAUGGCUUGAAGAGAUUGUGUGCUUUUGUUUGGUAUUUUCUGGUAGAGAAAAUUGCAAGAACAAUUUGCACUUUAUUAUUAGGCACUGACUUGCUUUUGCAUUAAAUGGUUUCUUAGGCGUCGUCUUUGCUUCAGAGCCUUUUUACAGGGGGUUUUCUAUGUGUUCUGAGAUUUAAAACGUGUAUCUUGAGAAUACUCCUCUCUUAUUAAUAUUUCUUUCAUUAGAGAGAGUCAUUGUUGUUGAGGUCAAAAGCUUAUACAUAGGGAAGGUAUUGCAUGCUAAAAGCUGCAGGCAAAAGGGAGGUGUGGAUGGGUGGGAGUAGUGUGGGAUGAAGCCCUUCUGGUACAGUAUAAAAAGGAAACCUAUGUAAAGGUGCUUGUAAACUUCUCCUUCGUUGUGAAUAGUCAUGAGUGGCUCUGGACAUAGACUCAUAGCCAAACCACAUAAAAUUCCUUGUACCUUUCACCCAUUUUACAUUUUUCAUUCUAAUUUGUGUCAGUUGUACACUUCUCUCUUGCUGGUAUUCCUUUAUCAGGCACCCACACUACACACAUGGAUGGGAUGUCAUUUAUAAAUAUUAAAAUUGCAGCAUAAUUUGGUGUUCUAGAACUUGUUUCUACUUUUGAUGUUCCACGGCAUUCUUGGUUGAGGCCAAAGUGCAUUGAAAUAACUGGAGACAUUCUAUUUGUGAGGAAUUCCUGCUACCUUUGUAGCAUCAUGCUGAUGAUCUUAGAAUGUGGCACGGCUUGAAUUUCUGGAACUUAUUUUUGAGACUUUUUAUGGUCUUUCCUGAGCUUUGCUUAAUUCUGAUCAAAAUUGCUGUUAAUAGUUAUACAGUUUCUUAAAUUUAGUAUGUAUCAUAUGGUAGUAAAUUAUGUGCAGUUCCCUUGCUGGUAAUAUUGUUUCCUUAAAUUUUAAGAGGCUCAUCUUCUUUUAAUCUAGCGCUUGGAUUUAAAAUUUCAACAUGCUUGUUUGGGGCCCUAUGGUCUGGCUACAAUCUAAGCUGCACUUGGCCUGGCCACAGCUCACCAUUUAGAGAAUGCUAUACAUAGUUGAGAUUUUGUCUUAAGUGAGGAUAGGGAUGUCUGGUUAUACUCUGUUUCUCUUUUAUGAAUAUUAUCAUUUGUAACUUUAUUUUACUGAGGGUGUAUACAUGGUUGAUGUAGGUGACAGCCUUGCAAUUUUGAGGGCAGAGUUAAAGUCUCAGAGGAAGCAUGUAAAAAGUUUGAAGAAGAAAUCACUUUGGUCCAGGAUUUUGGAAGAGGUAGGCCUCAGUAUUGCUUCAGGUGCAUAUUUUUUAUGGAUGUGGCUCUACCGCUCUAGUGAUUAAUAUAUGAGAUUUAACCUGGUUGGUUUUUAUGUUUCCCGAUCCUACCAUGAGUAUGCAUCCAUCACAGAUGACAUUGGGUGGACUAUACUCUUCCAUAUUUGCCAAGUGAUAGCUAGAGAAUCUUUUGCUCUUUAUAAUUGUACAUAUUAUUACAAUAUAAUAUCAGACCAUUUAUUCGUAGGUAAUGGAGAAGCUGGUAGAUAUUGUCCAUUUCUUGCAUUUGGAGAUCCAUCAAGCUUUUGGUAGUGCUGGUAAGCAUUCCAUGUGUGGCCUUGUGACUCCGUAUAUGUGUUUUUUGAAGCUCUAUCCACCAUGUGAGCCUUGUUGUGCUGGUAGAUUCGAGAUAAUAUUUAUUAUGGGCCUCAUAUUUAUAUUUUUCAAUGGAGAAUAAGAAUGUUGUAUGAGAGGUCCUUGUUCCUGCUUUUACUUGGACACCAUUGAAACGAAAAUGUUAGUGAUGUUGCAAUAAUAAAGUAAAUCAACACCAUAGAUGGGUGUACAAUGUGAUAAUUUUCAAUUAGAGGGGAGAAAAGGAAUAUGGUUUAUCAAGGUAGCUGGGCUUAAAACUCAACCGAGUUGAAUCAUUUUGGAGACAAAUGGAUAGUGAAACCAAUAUUAUUGGUAAUUCACAUAUUCAACAACACGAAGCCUUGAAUUUAGCAUUUCAUAAAAUGUGAACAUGACAACUACAAUCAUAGGGUGUGAGGGUUCUCUUUAUUUUCUAAGAAUUGUCCAACUCCUGCAGAUGGACAUUUCUCUGCUUUUCACAUCUUAUCCCUUGAUGCCAUUUUGGUUGGAAAAAGCAAAUCUUUUAAGUUUAUGGGCAAACAUUGAUUCAUUAAUAUAAUGGAGUUUCUUUUUCCAUUAUUAUUUUAUAGUUAUUAUUUUUAAUAUUUCACCCAUUAACUUUCAGAUGAUGAUAGACCAGUAAAAGGUUCCAGCUGUCAGAAAAAAUUGGGCUCUGCAGGUCUUGCUUUGCAUUACGCAAAUAUUAUCACUCAAAUUGACACGCUGGUGAGUCGGUGAUUGAUAUUCUUUACCUUCUUUUAAGGUUUUUAUUUUUAUAUUUUUCUAAAGUUAAGAGCAUUUGAGAUCAAAUCAUUGUACCAUUGUCGACACCUGGUUGAUGCAUCGUAUCAAAUUAUUUCUUUUUUGGAGCUAAUAUCUGAAAGUGAUCAGGUGUCUCGAUCAAGUUCUGUACCUCCAAAUACAAGGGAUUCUUUAUAUCAAGGGCUUCCUCCCAAUGUCAAAUCUGCCUUCCGCUCAAAAUUACAAUCCUUCCAUGUAAAGGAAGAGGUAUUCCUUUGUUUUUAAUCUGAAAGAAUUUUAUAUUUUAGAUUUAUUUUUAGUAGGUUUUCAGCCAAAGAAAAUGGUCUUAAUUGCUUGCCUAUAACUGAUUUAAUUGUUCAUUUCAAACUUAACUCAUGCAGCUAACAGUCGCACAAAUCAAAGCUGAAAUGGAGAAAACUCUGCAGUGGCUUGUUCCAAUUGCUGCAAACACAACCAAGUAAAAUAGCUUUACUAAUUUUCUUUGCCUAUGCCAAAAAAGUGCUUAGUUUUAGUAUCUAAUUUUAUCAUUUGUCAAUUCCUUAAGUGGGGGCAUCAUAAAAUUCCUAAAAGUCUGAUACUAAUCUUGGUUAAAUAGAAACUAUGCUCUGGUGUGGCUGUGAUGUGAACAACAGAUUUUUCGUUACCAUGUUACUUGUUCACUAUACAAUGCAUGUUUGUCGUCUUAGCUUACUUUCUGAUCGUUUGUGCUUGUUUUAUUGUCGUCGCGAAUGAUGGACAACCAGAGCUCAUCAUGGAUUCGGUUGGGUUGGAGAAUGGGCAAAUACGGGGUGAGCUACAUAUACUUCUGUGCAUUUUUUUUUCCUUCCCUUCUUUUUUUCUCUUAUAUAUCUUUGUUAAGCUCUUCCAAUUAAAAUUCUUCAGGUCGGAGGUGACCAGGAAACCUGCUGGACAGACCGACUUGCUCAGAAUCGAGACACUGCACCAUGCAGAUAAAGAGAAGACUGAAGCUUACAUUCUUGAAUUGGUAGUUUGGCUUCACCAUCUUGUCAGCCAAGCAAGGGCUAGCAAUGGUGGAAUAAGAUCUCCAGUUAAAUCACCAAUUCGGUCGCCUAAUCAGAAAAUGAUUCAGUUAUCUACCAACAAGUCAAGCUCUCCAUCCCCAAUGCUGACAAUUGAAGAUCAAGAGAUGCUCCGAGACGUAAGCAAGAGGAAGAAGACACCUGGGAUAAGCAAGAGUCAGGAAUUUGACACUGCAAAAACAAGAUUGAGCAAACAUCAUAGGCUGAGCAAGAGUAGUAGCCAUUCUCCCAUUAAUGAAAGUAGAAAAGAUCCUUUCCCUAUAAGGAGGCCUUCAUCUGUUCCUGUUAUCGACUUCGAUAUAGACCGAAUCAAAGCUUUGGAUGUUAUCGAUCGAGUCGACACGAUUAGAAGUUUAUGAUUGUAUCAGAAUAGGCAGUGAUGAAAAUCUAGGCAAAUAAAGAGGCCUGUUCUUGUGAAGGAGGAUUCCAUCUGAUACAAUUUUUGCUUUGGUUCUAGUGGGAGGAGUCUGUUGCUAGGCUUAUGAUGAGUGAUGCAAGUCUUUGGUUUUCUUUUUUUUUUGCUUGUGAGAGUUUAAUUUUUCUAGAAAAUCAGGCCAUAGUUUCUGCUUAGUUAUGUGUACAGAAUAUUUUCAACUAUUUUAUAAUAAUUUAAAGUUCAUUUUUUCCCAGGAUAAGCCUAAUUAGCUGCAUCCAUUGAAGCAAAACACUCUUAAAAACUGUGAUUUAGGUUUUGCAUUUUUUUUUUUUUUGAAAAGUAAAACCAUUAAUAAAUUUUAUCCAACAAAAACGAAUAUUAUGUGAAAUAAAAAAUUUUAUUAAAUAAAUAGAAAUAUUAUCCUAAACUAGUCAUGCCUAAUAAUGUAGAGGAUUAAGUAGAGGAUUAAAUGGAAUUUUGUAUAUAUAUAUUUUAAAAAUUAUUUUAAUAUUUAAAAAUUAAAUUAUAAUUUAUCAGGAUAAAAAGUAGUUUUUAAAUAUAAAUGAUUUUUUGCAGAUAAAUUUUUUCUUUUUAAAUGGAGGUUGGAAAUCGAGGGAAUAGAAUUCGAGAUCUCUAAAAUUUAUUCAGAUGCACUUAUUAUCAAAAUAUCUAAUUUAUUUAGAUACACUUAUCAUUAUUCGGUGUUUUUUACAAAUAAACUAUACACUUACCAUUAUUCAGUAUUUUCUAUAAAUAAACUAUACACUUACCAUUAUUCAGUAUUUUUUACUGAUAUAAACUGUUAAAAAUUAUAAUUUUUGAGAAAUUAAAUUUUUAAAAAUAACAUCGCAGAGUGAAUAAUAUAUAUAAUUCCUUUUUAUAUCUCUUUAAAAUUAAUAGAGUUUCUUUUUGUUUUCAUCAUUCUGAAAUUAUAAUUUAUUUAUUAAGUAUCAAUAAAGUAUUUUAUUUUAAAAAUAAAGUAAUUAUUAAAAUUUUUGUGGACACCACUUGCUUCCAAGUUGCCUUCAAGUAACUAACAAAGGCCCACUUAAGCAUAUAAUAAUGCAAAAUAUUGUUUCAUGUUUUGCAACAUCUUAAACAUUAUUCACACAUUUUCUUCUACUUUCCACUUAACCAUUUUGGAAUUAUAUUAAUUUUUAUUCAAAACCAUCAAUUAAUUUGAUUGGUUGGUAAUUCCACUCCAUGAUUCAUCCACUCUGUUUUUUAGAAUGCUUUGUUUUCUAAAGUCUUAUUAUUUGUUGGGUGGAUUUUAUUAUCAUUUAGGAAAUUUUAUUAAAAUUCUAUCAGAUUAAAAUUAUAUAUAUAUAUAUAAUAACUUCACAAAACAAGCAUAUAUAAUCAUAUAUUUUAAUUGACAAUAUAAUAUUAUUUUAACAUUAAUUUAGUAGGGUAUUUAUGAAAUAAUUAAAAAAAUAAAUAUAACUUUUAUAAAACUUAUGAACUAAGAUAUAUGAAUUUUAUAUUUCUCCAUGAAAUAAAGUUAUUUUAUUUUAUUUUUAAAUAAACUAAUUAUAAAAUUUACAUAAUUAAUGAUAAAUCAAUUAUGUGUCAUUGCAUUGUCAUCAUGAUUGCGAUUUGCGACGGCUUAAUCCAUUUCAAUAUUAUACUCUUAUUUAUUAAUAUAAAAAAAAUUAUAAAAUUAAAAUAAAUAAAUAAUAACUCGUAGAAUUCACUUUCCAAAAGUCCACUCUAAUCUUUCGGUGCUAAAUAAAUAACAACAAUUUUGUACAUAAAAUUAUUUACAGGCUUUAAUUAAUAUCAUAUUAUUAAUUUUAUUUGGCAAAUAAAUAAAUAAUAGAGAAUUUUCUUUUUAAAAUUUAUUUUUUUGUAUUCACAAAAAAUUAAUUUUUCAUAGGGCGAGUCAAUUUUCGCCAAAUUAGUCUUCCCGAAUAUACGCACUAUAUUGAAUUCAUCAUUAAAACGGAUGAGCUCACAAUCCAAUUAAUGAAUUUUGAUUUAAUGAUGUCAAAAUUUAAAAUUGAUAUCAUAAUUAUCUAGGGUAAUGACUGCUCAAUUUCACCAUUUCGGUCUGAAGCUUGACCCAUGAUAACAGUCUAUUAUUUGAAAGCUCUUAAGUCUCUCGCAUGAAUCAGAUUCAGUCCGCUUGGCCUGAAGACUGAACUCUCUCUAAAGCCUCUCAAUUAGACCGGUCCAGUCCCUUCGGCCCUAAGAUCAUAUCUCUCCUGAGCUUCAGUCCUAAUCUCACCAACUGGUCCAGUCCAGAGGAGAAAAUAUAGCCAGUCUAUUCACCCAGUAGGUCCAUCCGCAUGAUGUCAAGGGAAAAUUAAAUAGCCGUUACGUAUGGAGGAUAGAUCUGAUAUUCUCGUACGUCUAUAUCUGUAUGGCAGAGACAGGUGGCUCAAUGACAGUGAGACCGUUACACGUGGUAGACAAAGGAAAAAAAUAAAAGGAGUUGAGGACUCUCCUCUCAUACUAAGUUCACUCAACCCUUAUAAAACUCUAUUUUUCUAGGUCUCAGAUCAUAUCAUAUGGGAUGACUUGUUUGAAAAUAGAGGAAAAAAAAUUUUCAAUCCCUAAUUUUUAAUCCCUAAUUCUCUCUCACGGUCUUAAUCUACUGGUCAGUAUAUUUAAAUAAAUUUAGGGAUCUUAUAUUCUAUUUCUUUAAUCUCUAAUUCUCAAUUUCAAAAUAAAUAUUAAAAGAUGUUAAAUAAACCUUUUAAAUUUUUAUAAUGAAUCAAAUAUACCCUAUGGAAAUAUAUAUCACCUUUAAGUUUUAAAAUUGAAUAACUUCAUCCUUCGACUUUUAGAAAUAGAAAAAAUAUACAUAUAUUAUAAUUUAUUUUAAUUUAAAUCCAGCUAAAAAUUACGUACAAGAUUCUCAUAAGCUAUCUUAUAUAGCCAAUUUCUAAUAUCACGAUAAAAUAAUUGAAAAGGUUUAUUUAAAUCUAAAAAAAAAAAUUAAGUGGUUAUUUAAAUAAAUUACUUAUACUUUAAGGAUUAAAAUAGGUUUAUUGCCUAAUUAAAUAUAAAUAUAUAUAUAAAUGUGGGGCUAUUUUAAUAAAAUAUGUAACAUAUUUAUGAAAAUUUUAACUGAAAAACUACCAUAUUCACUUAUCACAUUAAUGAUGAUUUUCAUAGAAUUCAUGAAAUUCAAACUCUAAAAUUAACUUUUUAAAAAUGAGUUUGGCAUGUUUUGUCAUCCCUAUUAAUUUUAUAAAAUAAAAUAAGAUUUAAAAUAUUGCAUAUGGAUUUUUAAUAUUUUAAUAAUUUUUAGUAGAAUUUCUUUUAUAGUCUUUUGAGAAAUUAUUAUUAUUAUUUAGUAAACCUAACUAAUAAUAAUUAAAAAUUUGUAAAAGAAUAUGAAAAUAUUAUCGAUAGAAGAGAAGAAGAUAACCAUAUGACAAUGCAAAUGAAUCUUGAAAAAGAUAUAACUAAAAUUAAAUAGAAUUGAUUUUAAUUUUUUUUUAUUUUUAUAUUCAAAAAAUUAAAAUUAUUUAAAAAUGAAAACUAAAACCAAAUCAGUAAAUAAAUAAAUUAAUUAAAUAAAAAAUUACAUUAUAUUAACUCAAUUCAAUUUUUAAAAUAAAUUGAUAUUUGUUAUGCCUUUAAAAAUUAUAAAAAUCGACAAUGUUAAUGUUUAAUUUGGUGAUAAAUAUAUCUGAAUAAAUCUGUACGAUUUUAGAUUUUACGUUUUUAAUUUUUAAUUUUUAUUUUAAAAAAAUAAUUUAAUUUUUUUCUGUAAAUAAAGACAAUUUAUACAAAAUAAAAAUAUAUUUUAAUAGAAGAAAAGAAAAUUAAUUUAAAAAAUAAAAAUUAAGAAAAAAAUAUAUCAUACUUCAAAGCAAAAUAAAAUACUAUCCUCAUUUUUUUAUUAAAAUAAUAGAUAUAUAUGAAUUAAAGACGAAACUUUACACGUCGAUUAUAUUUUUUUAAAUUCAACUUUAUAUAUAAAGUUAUUUAUAAAUCCCUCGUGGCGGUGUGUAGAGAGGAAUCCAGGAAUGGGCAAUGAGUGUCAUGGACCUUCUUUGAAAUUUUUGAAAUUUUUUAAAAAUAUAAAUAAUUUUUUUAAAAAUAUAAAAAAUAUUAUUAAAUUCUUAUAUAUUUAAAAAAUUUAUUAAUUUAUUUUAUUUCAAAAUUAUUUAGUUAAAUCAUUAUUAUAUUUUAUAACAUAAAAUUAAUUAAAUAAAUUUUUACUAUUUAACACUUCAUCAUUUCUAUUAUUUUUCAAUUUAAAAAAUUUACUUUUUAUUCUAAAAAAUUAAGUCCCGAUUUCCAUAUAAACCUUUUUUUACAUCAUUCACACAUUAUUUAAUUUAGUUGUAUAUACUAUUUUUAUUAUGCAGUGAUAAUUUUUUUUAUUAAUUUAAUUAUAUAAUUGAAAUUAUAUAAAAGUAAAUUUUAAUGAGUUAAAAUAUUUAUUUUUUUAGAAAAAUUAAAUUUUAAUAAUAAAUCAUGUAUUAAAAUAUUAUAUUAUGUUAAUGGUAUUAUUUUUUUUUAUGAAUUUGAACGUUAUAAUUAUAUUAUUAAAAGUUAAUUUUAUAGUGAUAAAUUAUAAAUAAUUAAUUGAUAAUUUAUAUUAAAAAAUAUAUUUGUAAAUAGAUAAUAAUAAAAUUAAGAAUAUAUUUUAAUUAAUAAAAAAUAAAUGAGAAUAAUUAUAAUUUAAUUAUAAUAAUUUAUUCGCUUUUUAUAAAAAAAUAUUUUUAAAUACAUAAUUAUUUUAUAUUUCAUUUAUUUUAUAAUUUUUAUUUAUUUUGAUUUUUCAUACAUAUUAAACAAGACUUUCUAAUUAUAUUCAUUUUAUAAAUAUUAAUUUUUAUUAAUUAUUAAAAAAUAUUAUAAAUAUUUAUUUGAAAAAAUAAUAAUUAAUGAUAAAUUAAUUUAAAUAUAAUAUAAAAUUAAAUAGAAUUAUAAUAAUCGAUUAGAAUCGAUAAAAUACUAAAAUUAAAAAUAAUAUAUUUUAUUUAUUUUAAUUAAAUCUUAUGGAUUAAAUUUUUGAAUUCGUUAUGGGCGGUGUGAUUGUGAAAAAUAUUUAAAAAAAAAUUAAAAUAGAUAUAUAUGAAUUAAAGGUUUAGCUUUACACGUAAAUUAUAUCUUUUGAUUAUGAUUUUUAUUUAUAAAGUUAUUCGUAAAUCUCUUCCAUAUUCAGAGUAGGGGAUGCUUUCAAAACAAAAUAAAAUAGAUAUAUAUGAAUUAAAGACCGAAGUCUACACGCUAAUUAUAUUUUUGAUUUUGACUUUUGGUAAUCAAAUUAUGUGUAAAUCCUUCUGGCGCUUCUGUUUUCAGCGCAGAAGAUACUUUCAAAAGACUUCUAAGCUUGCAUAGGGUUUUAAGCUUUGAUGCUAUUGCUGAGUGCUGACCAAUCGAUCUGUUCGAUAAGAAAUUGAAAAUCGAACUGUAAAAAUAUUUAGAAUUAAAAAAAUUAAUUAUAAAAAUAUAGUUAAAUUGAAUUAAACGGAUAAAAAUUAAUUCGAUUUAAUUUCAUUACGUUAGUAGAAUAAUUUAAUAAAUUUUUAAAAAAUAUUAUAAAAAUACAUAAUAAUACUUAAAAAAUUUAUAUAAAUUCAUAUAAAAUUUAAAAAUAUGUAUAAAAUCAAUAUUUCAUAUAUAAUAUAAAAUUGAUUAUUCGAUUUAUCGAUUAUUUAAUAUAUUUAAAUCAAAUCGAACUAAUAAUUAAAUAAAUUAAAAAAUAUUAAUCAAACCAAACCGAAUAUUUUAAUUAAUCAAACUAUUAAACUAAAAUUAAUCAAUUUAAUUUUAAUGAUCUGAGAUCCAGAAAAUAGGGUUUUACAAGGAUUUUGUGAAUUUAGAAAAAACUUAACCUAAAAGAGAGUGUUUCCUCCCUUUUAUACUCUUUCCUCUCCCUCACGCGAGAUGACCUUUACGCUAUAGGACCACCUACCCUUGGUGCAGGUCCGUUCGUACGGAUAGCCUCAGGACCAUCCCUGUGUCAGGCAAGUAUUUAAUUUUCUUCGGCGUGCGAGUGGACAGGGCUGCGAAAUGACUGGACCCACAGUCUUGUCUUCUUGUGGCCGGGUUUAAGGGAAAUGGACCGGGACCUAGGAGUGGGCUGGCUUUAAGGUUGAAAUGGACCGGGCCGGUUUGAUUGAAUGACUUUAAUAGGAGUCCGAUCAGGAGGAUGAACGGAUUGGAUCUGGCUUAUUUGGGGUUUAGGAACCUCCUGAUUGUGGGCUGCUACUAUCGGUCCGGUCUCAUAAUGAGAUGGAGACAGCGAUGAUCAGAUUUAAUUUUUUAAUUCAAGCCAAUAUAUACUCUCUCUUACUAUUGCUAGAAGUCUUUGGAGGGUACUAGUUAAAUAAUAAAUAUAAAAUUAAAAUUUUUGAAAAUAAAUGUUAAAUUCUUAAUACAAUUAAUCUAAAUUCCAUAAAAAUAUAAUUAUUGUAUUCUAAACUUUAUAAGAGUGAAACUGUUAAACUCUUUAAAAUAUUAAAAAUAUAUAAAAUAAAUCAUUAAAAUUAAUAAUUUGUUUUUUGAUAAGAAAAUAUUAAUUGAAAAAUAUCAACCAAUCACAGCAUCAGCAUUCAAACAUUAGCAAGGAAAUAAAAUUACGCUAAAUAUCAAAGUUUAAUAAAAAAAAGAUAAAUGAAAUUACGAAUUUUAAGUUAAAAUUUCUAUUUAAGAAAUAUAAUUUAAAAAAAAAUAGAGAACAGCAAUGGAAAAGUUGAGCAAUGACGAAAAGACAAAGAGUCACUGUGAAAAUUAAUUCUAGGUUAAUUGUGACAUAAGCUUUUAGAUUUUCAAUUUUUUAAUAAUAAAUAUAUAAAUAUAAGCAAUUUAAAAUUUCAAGAUGCAUAUAUAAGUAUAUGCACUUAUAAUUUAUUAUACUGCUUUUUUCGUUUGAAAUAUAAUUUUUUUUAUUAAUUUUUUUAUUAUAUUAUUUUAAAUAUAUUAAAUUUUAUUAAAUAUUAAAAAAUUUUAAAAAUAAAAUAAAAUUAUAAUAAUCAAUUUAUAUAUUAUUAUAAUUUAAAAAAAUAAUUUUGAAAUAAUUAAAAAUAAUAAUAAUAAUUAUGGCAUUAAAUAUGUAUAUAUUAAAAUAAAAAUACGGAAACCAAUUAAACUAAAAGGAGCACUUUGAGACGGACUGAAAGAACAAUAUGCCGCUAUGUUAAAUUAAUUAUAAAGUGAUAAUCCUCUAACUAGUUAUACUUUUAUAAUCAUAAAAUAUUAAAAAUUAACAUUUUUUUAAUUAUUAUACUAAUUAUAUUUAUUAAAUUAUUAAAUAUAAUUUUUAUUACUAUUGCAUAGUUUAUAUGAAAAAAAUAUCGAUUAUUGUAAUAUGACAAAAUUAAUUAAUUAAUAUAUAAAUUUUUUAAAAAUAUAAUAAAAAAAUACCACAUAAUUUUAUAAAUUUAAAUUUUUUAUUUUAAAAUAUGUGAUUUAUUUUUGAAAUAUAUAAUUUAAUUUUAUAUUAAAAUAAUAACAUAUAAUAUAAAUUCUAUAUUAAUAUAAAUAUAAAAAUUAUUAUUAUUUAUAAAUAAUAUGAUAUCAUGCGAUACUAUUAAAAUAUAAAAUUCAACUAUAUACUUUAAAUUAAACUACAGAUUUUAAAAUAAAAAAUUGAUAAAAUUUUUAAUUUUUAAUUUUUUUUAUAAAAAAUAAUCUAUAUAAUUUUAAAAAUUCAACUAAAAUGUCUCUUUUGUUUUGGCGCUAUUAAGUUCUCUUAAACAUUUUAUCGUAAAACUAGUAAUAACGGUGUUAAAAUUUGGAGUAAUAUUUUUAAUUGAGUCGUUAAAAUUAUAGAGAUUAUUUAGUGUAAUUUUAGAAGUAUUAAAAUUAAUAUCACACCAUAGUUAUAACGAUCCGGAAAUCGGACCGCUACCGGCACUAGAAUUCAGAUCGACUUAAGGUCACCGGAACCCGUAGCAAGCCUACUAUGCUUUCUAUAAACCUGGUAAAUCCCAUACAUUAUCAACAUUUUUCAUAAAAAAUUUGAAACUUUACAUUUACCAAGUUUAACCCUGUGCAUGCACAUCAUUUCUAUAAACAUAAAACUCCAUACUAGAGCUCUCAUCAAAUGCUCUAGAUGGGUCAUCAUUUCAUAUAUUAAGCUUGGUCCUCAACAUAUAUCAUUAUAAAACAUAAUAAUAUACAGAUCAUGUACAAAAGGGUUCUACCAACUCUAGGGCCAAGCACAACUCUAUCAAUAUACAUUACAUGACUUUACAUCAAUGUACAAUACAUGUCCACUGUAAUACCCGGCUAGUUCAGACAUCAGAAUUCUUACCAUCCGGUGGAAUUCCGGAAUGUCAGAGGAGAGAAGUGGUAGGCUUUAUAUGUUUAUCUGUUUGUUUUUUUAACAUUCGAGGACGAAUGUUUUAUAAGGGGGGAAGAAUGUAAUACCCGGCUAGUUCAGACAUCAGAAUUCUUACCAUCCGGUGGAAUUCCGGAAUGUCAGAGGUUCUAGAAGGGUAAGAGUGAAGGUUUUCUAAAAGGUUUUUAAGUGUUUAAAAGGUUUGAUUCAGAAAAGAGUUAAGUUUUGAGGAGAAGUGGCCUAAGGAGUUUCUGUCAUGUUCGGCCCCCGAAUGUUAAGUUCGGCCGCCGAAAGUGCCCAAUGUUCGGCCCCCGAAGGUUAUGUUCGGCCCCCGAACGUUGCAUGGUUUUGCAUGCAGUUUCGCCAGCCGAAGCUGAGGUGGUCGGUUAGUUGUGCACACUCCUCAGUCCGUGGUUUGGCCAGGUGUUCACCUCCAGAUCAUGACCAGAGGUUUGGCCACGUCUCCCUUGACUCAUCUGCACGCUUUAAUCAGCUUAUGCAGAGGGUUGGUCUUUUGCAAACGGGGUUGAACGUUUUUGAGAGAAAAGAAGAGUUGUGAGGGUUGAAGCUUUGGAGGAGGAGUUGCUGAGUUGGCUGUUCCUCUUCUGUUUUCAAGAGGUAAAGGAAGUCUUUUAACUUGUUUUAAUGAUUUAUAACAGCUUUUAAAGAGGUUAAGGGGAGAGUUAUGUAUAGAGGUUUCAUUUUGAUGUUUUAAUGGUGUAACUAUGUAUAUGUGUUCUAGUUGCUGUUUUGUUGGGGUUAGUAGGUAGUUUUGGACCCCUUGGUUCAUAUACCUGAGUAUAUGUGAGUGAAGGAGGAGGUAUGCAUGUAUGGAGUGGGGUUGGUGCUUGGCAGGCUUGUUCAUGCACGAAUCUGAGUUCUGGAUGAACUCAGGUUCGGCCGCCGAAGGGAGGAUUCGGCCGCCGAACCCCUUGUGGAGGCAGUUUCGGCUGCCUAAGGUUGCUUCCGAAAGAAUGGACUUUCGGCUCUGUCAUGCACAUUCGGCCGCCGAAGGUGCCGCCGAAGGUGCUCUGUCCAGCCUUCUUUUGCAUGUUUAUGUGAUUGUUUUCAGAGGUUCAGAGGGGGUUAUAGGGGAUUGUUUAAGAGUUGAUAAGAGUAUGUUGACACCUCAUUCGAGUCCAUUUGUGUAGGCUUGGACCCGACAGUUCAGGGAGGUCGUCAGGAUUAGCAGUUGCAGCGUCAGUCAGGUUUCUGCUUGAGGAGCAGAGGUGAGUAGAACUAAACUUAAUCUUUUUAUUAAAGAAACAGAAUGCUUUUCAGCAUAGGACAUGCAUCAUGAAUGCUAUGAUAUGUAUUAGGGUGAUUGCAUUAGAAUCACGAAGAUGGUGCAUUACAUUAUUCAUUGAUAGUGGGAAUUGGACCAAGGCGACAUCAAUAGCCCUUAGAGGGAGUUUUGAGGUCAUGUCUAAUUCCAGAUGAUUGGACCCAGGCGACAUCAAUAGCCCGUCGAGGGAGUUUUGAAGUCAUGUCCAAUCAAUGAUGUGGAAUAUAUGAGAUGUGUUGCAUUUUCAUAAAAGAUGUGUAUGCAUGAACUAUUUUCAGUGUUUCUACUCACUGGGCUUUAGAAGCUCAUCCCUUUCCCUUAAUCCCAGUUUUGCAGGUUCAGUAUAGCAGGGAAAGUCAGCAACAGCAGAGUGGUGACUAGAAGACUGCAUGUGUAAUAGCUUAGUAUGGACAUGAUGUAAAUAAAAGAAAUAUAAGUAAAGGCAUGUAAUAGCUAAUAAGUCAGUAUGAUAUGGUUUAGAAUGUGCUUUUGCCUAUUGCCUAGUGUUUGUUUAUCCCUUGUAUAUGCAUGUAUCCUGUUUUCAGUUUCUUGAGGAGAACUGUGUCAAAACAGACUUAAUCAAUGUUGUGUUUCGAAAACCCAGUGAAGGAUAACUGUGAGGGAAGAUAGGGUUUCAUUUCCUUGACCCAAGACCAGUGCAAAGGAAAGAUCAGGUUUGAUUCCUGUGAUCCACAGAGUAGACCACUAGAGAAAACCAGGUUUGAUUCCUGUGACUCUAUGGUAGCCAAGUUAAUUUAUGAUAUGCUGACCCUUACAGAGUGGGUUCUAUGCUGCAGAGCGCAUAGGGUAUGGAGGUUACUUGGUAAAGCAUCACUGGUGUAUUAUAGAUAGCCCGAGGGCUAGUUCAGAUUAGUAUAUCUGAGCAUUUUGGUUCAUACGAUUGGACCUAUAGAGAGUGUUUUACAGGUUAAGUCUGGUUGUUUUAAAAGCAAAGUUUUAACAGGUAGUAGUCCAGUCGGAUCAUGUAUGGGAUUUUAGCAGGUACACAGAGUUUCAGGAUAGGCUUACUACGGGUCUAGGCGGCCUUAAGCCGAUCUGGAUCCUAGUGCCGAACGGUUCGGACCGUUACACAGAGGGUACCGGUUUCCUGGCUGUUACAUCCACUACUACUAUUACAUAAACUUUUCUCUUGUAGCUAUCCCAUGCUAUCUCUGGCCUUGCAAACCUGGGGGUGAGGUAAAGGGGUGAGCUACUAGAGUCCAGUGAGUAGAGCAAUAAUAAAAACCAUUUAAUAAAUCAUGCUUCCAUGAAAUGCAUCACAUCACAAAUAAUUCAUAUCAAGGAUGAACUUGUCACCAAUAGUCCUCACACAUUCCAAUAGUGCCAGGGCGUAGCAUGGGCCCCUGGUCUUUCUCAUAACAUUCAUAACAUAACAAUAACAUAACAUGACAUUCCAUUAUGCCAGUGGCGUAGAAUGGGCCUCAGGUCUUUCUCUUACAUGGUGCCAGGGCGUAGCAUGGGCCUCUGGACUUCCUCAUAUAUCAUGCCAGGGCGUAGAAUGGGCCUCUGGACUUCCCUCAAGGACUAAAGGAUCAUUUAACAUCCAUCCACAUCAAAUAUAUAUAAUGCAAUGCAACAUAUUCGUGAGUUCUAAUGCAAUACAACCUCAUAUAUCCAUGGCAUUUAUGAUGCAUGAGUCAUGCUAAAACCUUUCAUUUACUUUAAAACAUAGUUCAGUUCUACUCACCUCUAGUAGACGCUGGAAAAACUCUGAACCAGCUAACACUAAGGGCCUCCUUGGUUCCUCGGGUUCGAUCCUACACAGGUGGACUCAAAUGAGAUACCAACAUACUCUAACAUAACUCUAAACAUUCCCCCAAAAAUCCCCAAAAACAUCUCAAACAUGCAUGGAAAAACAAGCAAAGGAAGGCUGGACAGGGGACUUUCGGCGGCAGGUUCGGCGGCCGAAGGUCCCUCCAGAGCCGAAAGUCAAGCACUUUCAGAGGCAGGGUUCGGCAGCCGAAAGUCCUUCCAGAGACGAAAGUCACAACCUUCGGCGGCAUGUUCGGCGACCGAAACUCCACUCCAGAGCCGAAAGUCCAAACUUUCGGGGGCGGGUUUAGGCGGCCAAAACAACCUCCUCAAGGGGUUCGGCGGCCGAACCUGAGUUCUCCAAGAAGGCAGAACUCGAUUCGACCUUAAGUCUCCAGCCUCCAAAACCUCUCCAAAACAUGCACAACUCACACCCAAGCUCUCAAACACAUGCAUAUACCCUUCUUCAUGUAUAUAGGGGCUUAGAACUAGCUCAAACCCCCAAAACCAACACAUAUACACACAUAUGGCUUAUGAUCAACAUAAACCCUACCCAUGCAAACCAUGCAAAACCCUCACUUAACUUAAAACAUCAAGAAAGGUGAGGAUCCAUGCUUACCUCUUGAAGAUCGAGAGGAUUGAUGGUCUAAACUCGGAGAUGCAAGGGAAAACAGAUCCAGAACCUCUAAGCCUCACAACUUUGCUUCUUUGCUCAAAAACUUUAAAAUCAACAUAAAAACUAUUUAAAACUUGCUCAACUUUGAAGAAAAACAAGAAAUCCAUCAAAGGAGGUCAAGAACUCACCUAUACCCGAAAAGAGAGAGAAAACUCACCUCAAAUCCGGAUAAGGGGCCCUUUUAUAGGUGGCCGGUCAACCACCUUCAGCGGCCAGAGCUGUCUCCACAGUUUCAGCACGUUUGGAAGCCGAACUUGGGCUUCGGUGGCAACGAAAGCUAGCCACCUUCGGCGGCCGAAAGUGAGGUUCAGCGACCGAACUUUACAUUUCCCUCCUUGGUCUUUUCUUUUCAAAACUUCAAGUUUUCUUCAUCAAAACACUAAAACCAUUCAAAAACAUUUUAGAAACCUUUCUUUUACCCUUCUAGGAAACUCCGACAUCCUCGAAUUCCAGUUUCCAACGGAGAUUCCGCCGGAAAGUAGAAAUUCCGACGCCGGAGUCUAGCCGGGUAUUACAAUAGUAAUUUUUUAUAUAAAAAAUUAUAUAAUAUUACAAUAAUUGCCAAUGUAAAUAAUGUGAUAACACUCAAAAAUAGAAUCACGUGUCAAGAGUUUGAUCAGAUGAUACCCGAUUUUAUCAAUAAAAAAAAAUUCGGACACCGUAGAGUCUUAGUUAUUCAUCAAGACUUGCGCUCUCAACUACAAGAAAAGGCUCUAUGAGAAGUUAUCCUUAGUAGAUAUAAUCCAACAUAUUUCAUUACAUAUAUAAUCAUGGGAUCAGUACUCAUUGGCCGGCACCAAUCGAAUUUUCAGAAGAUGCAAUAACUAACUCUAUCUUCUGGUAAUAUCAAAGCAAAUGAAUAUAGAUAUCAAGGUACGCAAUUCUUACAUAACUACUGUUAGAUUUAACGUAUUACGUUACACACGCCUUUCUGUUCAAUUUACUGACUUGAGCAUUGCAAUGGCUGUCGUAGACGCCAACCACCUCAUUUUUUUUUCUUGUAGAUUGACCAAUUGUAGCACUGUACAGAUCCGAAAAUCGAACUACUACCGGAGUUAGGGUUCAGAUCGACUUAAGAUCGCUAGAGCCCGUAGCAAACCUACUAUACAUCCUAUUAUACCUCAUAUAGUCCCAUACAUGAUCACACAAGCAUAUAAAAUAUUUCUAUUUCGUUAACUAAAACUCGAUCUGUACAUGCAUCAUAACUGAAAAAUAUAAAACUCAUAUUAGAGCUCUCAUCAAAUACUUCAAUAUGGUCAACAUCACAUGCCUCAAGUUUGGUUCAACAUAACUUAUACUUUAAAACUUUUACAUAAAAAAAUCAUAAACUAGAGAUUAUAAAAGGAAACUCGACAAAAUACAAUUCUAAUCCACAAUUUAAUACAUGUCCAUAGCUAUAUUGUUAUAACAGGAUUAUACCAACAACUUUGCUGACCUUCCAAGCUAACUCAGAUCCUGCAAACCUGGAGUUAGGGGAAAGGGAUAAGCUAUAAGAGCCUAGUGAGCAGAAACAUAAGCAAAAGCAGUUUAAUAAAACACAUGGUCGUAUGAAUGCGUCACAACACAAACAAUUCAUAUCAAAAUGGACUUGUCACCAGUAACCUUCUACAAAUUUCAAUAGUGUCCGGCCCACAACGGGUGCUCCUCAAGACUUCCUUUUAAAUAUAGUAUAAUAUAUCCAUAAUGUCAGGGGCGUAGAAUGGGUCUCAAUUGGACUUUCUCUUACAUAUUGCCAGGGGCGUAGAAUGAGCCUCGACCUGGACUUCCAUAUCCGUUAUAACAUAUCAUAACAUACUCGAGGGCUAGUGGGUCAUCCAACAUCCGUCCACAACAACAAUAAACUAUGCAAUACAUCAUAUUCAUGAAUUUUAAUGCAUGGCAACCUAAAAUAUAUAUAAAUUGCAUUCGUGAAGCAUGAGCAUGCUUAAAACAUUUGGUUUCUUUAAAAUAAUAGUUCAGUUUGGUUAUACUCACCUCUGGCUGAUGCAAGCCUAAAGUGACUGUCUCACUACUGACCUCUAUGGUCUCUCAAGUCUAAUCCUAUAUAGAUGAACUUAAAUGAGGGAUUAAACAUAACUUUUACAACUCCACAAACUACUCCAAUAAACUCCUAAAAACAUAUAAGACUCAAGUAGAAGACAAGCUGAAAAAAGGGCUGAAUAGGAGACUUUCGGUAGCAGGUUUGAUGGCCUAAAAUUCUCUUAUAAAUUCAAAGGUCAAACCUUUAGAGGCAGAUUAGGCGACCAAAAGGUUGCCUCCAUAAGCAGGUUCGGCUGUCGAACCUGGGUUCUUCUGCAAGGCAACAGCAACAAAAAACAACUCAAUACACUAGAACCACUUAAAACUAACCUAAACUUAAGCAUGCCUUCCCUAAAACAUCAAAACAAGGAAACUCAUCCAACACCCUUAAGAUUUUUUUAAAAUAAAAAACUCAACCCUUGCAUGAAAAGAAAACGCUAAAACAACUUUUAAACUUCUCAAAACUGAAAGGAGUUUGAGGGUUCAACUCACCUCUUUGGAGAAAGCACAAUGCUGCACAAAGGAGGUUGUGAAGGAGAGAGGGAUGAGCUUCAGAGAUCCCGAAGGCUAAAACUUCAAAAACAAGGCUCGAUUCUUCAAAAUAGGAGGUAGAACUCAUGAAUUUUCUAGGAGAUAUGAAAAAAACUUUAGAAAAAUCAUCAAGGGAUCAUAAGGUUACCUUUGCCCGGAAGAAGAGAGAAGAAUUUCUCUCAAAAUCGAGUUGAGACCCUUUUAUAGUUGGGUCUGCCAACUAAUGUUUGAUGGCCGAACAUGAAAGGUUCAGUGGCCGAAACUUGAUAACAUGAAAACCAUUUUUUUUAAAAAAAGUUAUAAAAUGCUUUAAAUUCAUUUUAUAAAAAUCAUAUUUUGCCCUUAUAAAGAUUUCAAUUUUGAGAUUUCGGAUUCCAACGGAGAUUCUGUCAGAAAAUUGAAAUUUUGACCCUAGAGUUUAGCUGGGUAUUACAAGCACAACUUUUUUUCAGCCACAUCAUUUGGUUCCAUUGUCGAGAAACCCAUUAAAUUUUCUCUAUUUAUUUGGAUUAAAAUCGGUCUCUUAUUCUCUUUCUCUUAAAAAAAUCUUUUUUUUCUUCCUUUAUUGAAAUGGUUGACAAUUCACGAGUUACUGCUAAGGCUGCUACCAACAAGGGCAUAAUCUUUCCCUUCCUUCCUGGUAGUGAGCCUAUAAUGGUUGCACAUGUAAUAGCGGGGGACCCAAUGAUGGCAAGGAAAAAAACAAGCAGAUCGUAGAAGACAUCCUAUCAAUAGAGCAUGAACCAUGGGCCAAGCAGAAAAGUAAAGUUCAGACUUACAGGCCAGGUGACAAGCUUCUUUCAAAAUGACUCGCUGGUUAUCAACAUCCGUUUGAACAGGUAUGAGGUGAGGCGAGUUUUGGAGGACACAAAAAGUUCUAUUAAUAUCCUCACCUUAGAUGUUUUUAAUAAGCUAAGCUUAGAUAAAAACAAUCUUGUCAAGGUCUCCUAUCUGUUAAUAGGGUUAGGAGACAAAGUCGUGACAGUACUAGGUAUCAUCAACCUCCCCCUUGAGCUGGGUGAUGAAAAGCACAAGUGAGAGUUGUAUCCGGAGUUUGUGAUAGUACAUAUCUCGCUUGCAUACAAUGUGGUAUUAGGUUGCCCAAUCAUAAACUGUCACGGUAUAGUUAUUAACAUAGGUGCUAUGUGUCUUAAGCUACUAACUCCAAGAGGAUUGGUUGUCGUUCGAGGUAACCAGAAAUCAACCCAGGAAUGCUAUAGGCAUUCCACAAAAAGUCUCAGAAAAGCGACGAUACUCAUUGAUUUGAUGAAAAAACCUAGAUUCUCAUAUAAAACCAAAAUCAGCAAACCUAGUGAAAGAGGUCCAAUUAAGUAUAGACAUAAUGGUACGAUUUGGGACCAUGUUAAAAGGUGAGAUAAAAAAUUGCUUAAUAGAAUUACUAAAAUGCAGAGUGACCACCUUUGUUUAGUCUCCAAAAGAUAUAAUAGGUGUGGACUCAGUCAAUAUCACCCACAAGUUAUUUGUCAAUAAAACAAUAAAAUCGGUAUAAUAGAAGAAAAGAAAAUUUAUGGCGAAGAAGCAGUAGGUGAUUAAGGAGGAGGUUAAUAAAUUAUUAAGUGCAAGUUUAAUAAAAGAAGUUUAGUAUCUUACAUGGAUCGCCAAUAUAGUACUGGUGAAGAAAGUAAAUGGGAAAUGAAGGAUGCGCAUAGAUUUCACAGACUUGACUAAAGCAUGCCUAAAGGAUCAUUAUCUGCUCCUGUCUAUUAACAGGUUAGUAGAUUCUACCUCAGGUCAUGCGGUAAUUUCUUUUCUGGAUGCGAUUUCAGGUUACCACCAGAUUAUAAUGGACACCGGAGAUGCAGAGAAGAUUGUUUUAUCACUGAUGUCAGAGUCUUCUGUUACAAGGUGAUGUCGUUUGGACUAAAAAAUACAGGGGCAACUUACCAAGGGCUAGUUUCGGCCAUCUUUAAAGACAUGAUAGGGUUAACGGUCGAAGUAUAUGUGGAUAAUAUGGUGGUAAAGAGUCGAUCCUAAGAAGAUCAUCUAGAGGACAUCCAGAAGGUUUACAACGUACUGACAAGGCAAGUAUGAAACUUAACCGUGGAAAGUGCACUUUUGGGGUAAAAGCGGGGAAACUUUUAGGGUACAUAAUCUCAGAGAGAGGUAUAGAAGCAAGCCCAGAAAAAAUUAGUGUCAUUUCAAAAUAUGGAGGCACCUAAAACCAUUAAUGAUAUAUAGAAGUUGAAUGGGUAAGUCACAGCUCUUGGCCGAUAUAUAUCAUGCUCGAUCAGGAGGUGCCUCCCGUUCUUAAAAUUCUUAAAAGCCAAAACUAACUUUUUUGGAGAGAAGAAUGCUUAGAGGCUUUUGAAAAUUUAAAAAUCUUUUUAUAAUCUCCCCCUUUGCUAAGCUCACCCGUCGAAGGCGAGAUUUUAUUUCUAUACUUGUCUAUGAUGUAGAAAACUGUAAAUUCAAUGCUCAUUCAUGAGAAUAAUGAGGAACAAAGCCUAGUUUACUACGCCAGCCAAGUCUUGAAGGGGGAAAAGUUGAACUAUCCUUCUUUUGAGAAGUUAGCACUGGUAGUCUUGAUGUUUACCAUAAAGUUACGUUUAUACUUCGAGUCACACAUCAUAGAAGUCAGAACGGAUUAUCCUUUGCAAAAGGUUUUACAUAGGUUAGAGCUUUCAGAGCAGUUGUAAUAUUGUCAGCCUUAAUAUCAAGUAUGUCCCAAGAAAGAUCAUGACAGCCUAGGCAGUAGCCAAUUUUAUUGCAUAAAUGACUAUGCCAUUAGAGACUUUAGAAUUACCUGGAUCAAUCAUUGAGAAGUGGAAGGUUUGGGCGGAUGGAGCUUGCAGAGCUAGGGGGUUAUGGAAUUGGAAUCCUUUUGCAGAUUCAAACCAGGAUAAAGCUUUGUUACUCUAUAAAAAUCUCUUCAACACUACCAACAACGCAGCCGAGUACAAGGCUGUGAUUGUGACCUUAAAAAUCAUCAAGAAAAUAGUCAUACAGAAAUCUACUAUUUUUAGUUACUCACAGUUGGUUGUUAAUCAAUGUCAGGGAUAGUUUAAAAUUCAAAAAUUGAACCUUGUCAAAUAUGAAGAAAAUGUUUGCUCUUUAAUAGAGAGGAUCAAAGAUAGGCAAGGCAACUGCGAGCUUCACUAGGUAGCCAGAGGUGAUAACGAGGAGGUAGAUUUUUGGGCCAAGAUAGUGAUGACAGGUGAAUAGUACUUGACUCAAUCAUUUCAAUUCAAAAAUAUAAUACCCGGCUAGAUUCCGGCAUCGGAAUCCCUACCUUCUGGCGAAAUCUCCGUUGGAAUCUGGAACUUCUGAAGAUGCCAGAGUCUACUAGAGGGGUAAAAUGUAUUUCUAAAAUGUUUUCACAUGAUUUUAUGGUUUUAAAUGGAAAAGAAAUGGAGUUUUGAAAAGAAAAUGCCAAGGAGGAAGGACCCAGGUUCGGCCGCUGAACCUCAAGUUCGGCCGCCGAACAUAGGGCUGUUUCGGGAGUGCUUUAGGCUUCCAAAAGCUUUGAGGGCAGAAACCAGGUUCGGCCGCCGAAUCUCAAGUUCGGCCGCCGAAUCUAAAGUUCGGCCACCGAACAUGCAUGAGUUUAGGAGGCACAUUAGGCUGCCGAAGGUGCUUCAGCAGGCCACCUAUAAAAGGCCCUCAGACAAAAAAUGGGCGAGUUUUCUCCCCAUUCUCGAGCUCAGAUGAGUUCUUGCCUCCUUUGGUUGAUUUCAUGUCUUUCCUUCAAUCUUAUAAGGUUUUUAUAAGUUUUAUGGUUGUUUUGAAGAGUUUUAAAGCUUAGAUCAAAGUUUUGGAGCUUGGAGAUCUUUGGAGCUUGGAGAUCUUUGGAGCUUGGAUUCUCCAUAUCUUCAAGUAGGGAUCGCACCAACCCUCGAUCUUCAAGAGGUAAGUGUAGAUCUUUGCUUCCUUUACGUUUUAAUGAAGUUUUAAGUAAGUUAAAGAAGUUUAAUGGUUGAGUAUGGGUAGAUAUGCAUGUUAGGGUUUAUGUGGGUUUUAUUCCCAAUGUAUGUUUAUGUGAUGUUUGUGUUGGGGUUUAAGUUAGUUUAUGCCCCUUUAUGCAUGUGGGAGUGUGUUUGCAUGUUUGGGUGAGAGCAUGUGAGGUUUUGGGUGGUUUGGAGGUUGGUUUUGCUUGUGACAGAUUCGGACCUACUGUUCAGAGGGGACCAGGUUCGGCCGCCGAAGGUACGUUCUGCCGCCGAACCCUGCAUGGAAGGCAGCUUUGGCCGCCUAAUGUGCCCCCGAAGGCUAGGACUUUCGGAUCUGUGAGAGGCUUCGGCCACCGAACCUGCCGCCGAAGGUGCCAGACUUUCGGCUCUGGAAGGACUUUCGACCACCGAAAGUGCCCUCGAACCUGCAUGGCUUUCGGCUCUGGAAGAGACUUUCGGCUGCCGAAGGUGCCGCCGAAGGUGCCGCCGAAAGUGCUCUGUCCAGCCCUUUCAUGGUUAUUUUCUAUGCAUGUUUUGAGGAUGUUUUAGGGGAUUUUUGGGGAGUUGUUUAUGAGUUGUUUAGAGUGUGUUUGGCACCUCAUUUGAGUCCACCUGUGUAGGAUUGGACCCGAGGGACCGAGGAGGCCAGCAGUGUUAGCUGUUGCAGAGUCAGUCCAGCGUCUGCCAGAGGUGAGUAGAACUUAACCUUAUGUUUUUAAAGUAAAUCAAAUGCCUAAAGCAUGUUCAUGCAUCAUGUUUUUAUGUAAUAGGUUGAUUGUACUAGUUUCACGAAUAUGACGCAUUGUAUUAUUUACUGUUGAUGUGGAUGGACCAAGGCGACUUCAAUAGCCCAUAGAUCUGUCAUGAUUGAAAGUCCUGUGUGAGCUCCUUUAGGGGGGUAGGGCACUAUGUUGGGUAAGUCCUGUGUGAGCCCUUUUAGGGUCGGGCACCAUGUUAUGUGAUUGAAAGUCCUGUGUGAGCUCCUUUAGGGGCCGGGCACCGACAGAGGGAGUUUUGAGGUCAUGUCCAAUCCAUGAUGUGAAUUGUUUGUGCUAUGACGCAUUUCAUGAAAGCAUGUAAUUAAUGAACUGUUUUUAUUGUUUCUACUCACUGGGCUUUUUAGCUCAUCCCUCUCCCCUAAUCCCAGGUUUGCAGGUCAGAGGUAGUCCAGGAAGACGUCAAGGGUAAAGGUUUUGGCUAUGUAAUAGAGUAGUGGACAUGAUGUAGAUUAAAUGAAUGUUAUGUGAUGUAAUAGAUUGUAAGAUAAUAUGUUUAUGGAUUAGUUUUGUGCUUGGCCCUAAGGCUUGGUUAGUCCCUUUUUAGUACAUGAUGUAUGUAAUAGGGCUGAGCAGAAUCCGGUUCAAACCGAAAAAACCGACCGAACCGAAUCGAUUUGAAAAUUUGGUUCGGUUUUUUAUAUAUUUCGGUUCGGUUCGGUUUUAAAUUUCAGAAAUUUUGGUUAUUUCGGUUCGGUUCGGUUUUGAUCAGAAAAAAACCGAAAAAACCGAACCGAACCGAUUAGGGAUAAUAAUAUGUUUUUUCAAAAAUAUAGAGAAAUUAAAUUAUAUUAAAAUUAAAAUAUUUUAAUUAAAUUUUAAAAUACUAAAAAUAAAGUGUAAAAAAUUAAAAAAAUAUUAAAAAUCGAAACCGAUCAAACCGAACCGAAUCGAAUCGAAUCAGACCGGUUCGGUUCGAUUCGGUUUCUGACCAAAAUCGGUUCGGUUCGGUUUUCAUAAAAACUAAAAUUUCGGUUUUCGGUUUAUUCGGUUCGGUUCGGUUUUGAACCGAACCGACCGAAUGCUCACCCCUAGUAUGUAAUGUUUUAAUGUUGAGUUGAGUUUGAACCAAACUGGUGGCAUGUGUUGUUUACCACGCUAGAGCAUUUGAUGAGGACCCUAGUGGAGGUCUUAUGCUUAUGGUUUCAAUGCAUGCACAGGUUAGGUUUUGGUUCAUCGGAUGUGAUCCAAGCUUAAUGUAUGUUAUGUUGACCCAGCUAGAGCAUUUGAUGAGGGCUCUAGUAUGGGGUUCUUUAUGUUUUCAGAGAGGUAGCAUACAGGUCAAGCUCGGAUUUACAUCAGAUGUUUAAGUUUUUGUGUUAAUGUUUUGAUCAUGUAUGGGAUUUGACCAGGUGACAGGAUGUCUGUUAGGCUUGCUACGGGUCCCGGUGGCCUUAUGCCGAUCUGGAUCCUAGCGCCAGUAGCGGUCCGAUUUCCGGGUCGUUACAGAGUGGUAUCAGAGCCCUAGGUUCAAAUGAUCAGACCGAUAGGGUAUAGAGAGCCCUAGGUUCAUAUGAUCGGACCUAUAGAGUGUUGUCGGGCUCAUAGAGGUUAUUGAAGGGCAAGCACAAUAGGCAAAAUCAUGUCCACUAGGAUAGGAUGUGGAGUCCUGUCUUGAUUGAUGAUGUGAAAUGCCAUGAUUUUAUGCAUGUGCAUUAAUGUUAUGCUAUGUAUGCUAUGUAUGUUGCAGGUUCAUGUGUUUCCACAUGAACCGUAUGAUGCUAAUGAUUGUUUGUAUGCUUGUGUGUUGUUCUUCAGAGGAGCUAGGAUGCGUGGUACUCGUCGAUCUGUGGAAUCGACUGGAGUUCCGUUUGUGAGGGAAGGUAUGGACACCUUUCCCCCUGUUCUGCCAAGAGCGCAGUCGUGGGGAGUCAGCAGAUGGGGAACAUCAAGGGACCCUGGAAGGUCUUUUGAUUUAAGCAGAGAAGGAAUGGCUCCAAGAAGGAUGUCAAGAAGGAUGUCAGCUAGUAUGAGGGAAGUAGAGAUAGAUGUUCAGAGAAGAGAUAUCAGUUUGGGAAUCAGAGUGCCAGAAGAAGGUAUGGGAGAUUCUCAGGAGGAUGCUCAGACUCAGGAUUCCAGAAUCUCGGGUUCAGGAGGAAUGGAUCCCUCCACUUUGAGUACAGCCUCCACGAAAAGUAAAAAGUGGGGGAACACCAUGAAAAAGUGGGGCAGAGGCCUCAGAAGGUCGAAGAAGAAGUUUUGGAAGAAUCUGAAGGCUAGUCUGGGAUUAGGUGGUGGUUUAAGCUCAGGCUCAGGCAGUUCAAGAUGCUUGAGGUGUGGAAGGCCGCACAAGGGAGUCUGUCUGGCAGGGACAACAGCAUGUUUCAGGUGUGGUCAUGAAGGGCACAUGGUUCGUGAGUGUCCCACUGCGCCCUGGUGGAUACAGUCCCAGCGGGCAACUUCUGGUAGAGCGGCUCAGCCAACAGCUCCAGCCAUGGCUCAGGUCAGUGGUCGAGGCAGAGGGAGAGGGUCACCUUUUCUUCUGAAGGUUCCUGCGGAGAAGGUCCGUCAGCUCUAGCUCGGAUCUUCACCCAAGCUCAGCAGGAGGCAAACACAUCAAACAUGGUGGUGUCAGGUACGCUCACUUUCAAAUGUUCUGAUGUGUAUGUUUUGUGAACCCUGGUAUUUCUUUUUCUUUAGUUGCUCUAGGAGCCGUCGAGGGGUUGAGUUGAUAACUUUUGGGCUAGAGUGUCCUCUUUGGGUCAGUGAACCCAAGUGUGAUCCAUCUGUGGCAGAGUCAGUCUGUCGGUUCAGUUUAAUGUCAGUUGAGGAUAGAUGUCGUCCACCCGACCUUGAGGUCUUAGACUUGACUGUCUGGACGUCAUUCUAGGGAUGGAUUGGGUUUUUCAUCUCGUGGUACUGCCGGGUCUGUAGAGACAAGGUAGUCAAGUUCAGAGGACAGGAUGAGUCAGAGGUAGUCUGUUGAGGGGACAGUGUAGGGAUGCCUAGAGGUUUGAUAUCAGCCUGUCAGGUUCAUAGGGUGCGUAGGAGGGGUUGUUAGAAGGUUCGAGUUCUUGUUGAGAGUUUAGCAGUCAGGUCGGGGAACCAGCCUCAGUUUAGAGAGAGUUCUUAGAUGUCUUCCCAGACGUGUUGUCAGGUUUACCACCUGCUAGGGAGAUAGAGUUUGGACAUAGAAGUGAUGUCAGAAAUCCGGUUCACCUCUAUUCUUCCUUAUAGGAUGGCACCUGCAGAGUGAAGAAGUUGAAGGAGCAGUUGCAAGAGCUUGGUAGAAAAGGGGUUUUAUCCGACCUAGUACCUCACCCUGGAUUGCUCCAGUGUUGUUGUGGGAAAAGCAGGAUGGAUCCUUGAGACCCUGUGUCAACUUCAGGCAGUUGAACAAGGUCGCUACCAAGAACAGGUAUUCCCUACCUGUUGAAGGUUAGAGAAGAAGUCAGUUCAGUAGAGAAGAAGUGAGAAGAGAAAGGAUCAGAGUGCGCAGCGGAAGUUUGUGGAGUUUCAGGAGGAGGUUGGGGUAUUGCUAAGGUGUCUCCACUAAAGAGGUGAUUCGUUGUGGGUCGAAGGGUAAAGUAGCUCCAAGAUACAUCGGACCCUUUGAAGUCUUGCAAAGGAUUGGGGAUGUAUCAUAUAAGCUCGAUUUACCUGCUUCGAUAGAGAAAGUCCAUUCGGGUUUCUAUGUUCCUGUGUUAUGGCAGUUCGUGUCGGAUCCAAGUGAGGUACUUAAAGAACCAGAGGUGGAGAUCUCGGGGGGUCUCACCUAUUUUGAGCAGCUAGUGCGGAUCAUAGACACACAAGGUAGGUAGCUAAGGAAUAAGGAAUCCCAAUGGUGAAAGUUCUUUGGAAUCACCACAGAAUGGAAGAGCGCGCCUGGGAGACCCGGGAGUUUAUACUCCAGCAGUACCUGUGUUUCUCUUUUAGGAGAGAGGUUUUAGGUUUUGCUUGCUUGUUUGCUUGCUUGUUUUAUGUAUGCUUGAUGCUAUGAUUUGAGAAUACCUGUUUGUUUGAACAUUCGGGGACGAAUGUUCUUAAAGGGGAAGAAUGUAAUACCCGGCUAGAUUCCGGCAUCGGAAUCCCUACCUUUCGGCGGAAUCUCCGUUGGAAUCUGGAACUUCUGAAGAUGCCAGAGUCUUCUAGAGGGGUAAAAUGUAUUUCUAAAAUGUUUUCACAUGAUUUUAUGGUUUUAAAUGGAAAAGAAAUGGAGUUUUGAAAAGAAAAGGCCAAGGAGGAAGGACCCAGGUUCGGCCGCCGAACAUAGGGCUGUUUCGGGAGUGCUUUAGGCUUCCGAAAGCUUUGAGGGCAGAAACCAAGUUCAGCCGCCGAAUCUCAAGUUCGGCCGCCGAACAUGCAUGAGUUUAGGAGGCACGUUAGGCUGCCGAAGGUGGUUCAGCAGGCCACCUAUAAAAGGCCCUCAGACCAAAAAUGGGCGAGUUUUCUCCCCAUUCUCGAGCUCAGGUGAGUUCUUGCCUCCUUUGGUUGAUUUCAUGUCUUUCCUUCAAUCUUCUAAGGUUUUUAUAAGUUUUAUGGUUGUUUUGAAGAGUUUUAAAGUUUAGAUCAAAGUUUUGGAGCUUGGAGAUCUUUGGAGCUUGGAUUCUCCAUAUCUUCAAGUAGGGAUCGCACAAACCCUCGAUCUUCAAGAGGUAAGUGUAGAUAUUUGCUUCCUUUACGUUUUAAUGAAGUUUUAAGUAAGUUAAAGAAGUUUAAUGGUUGAGUAUGGGUAGAUAUGCAUGUUAGGGUUUAUGUGGGUUUUAUUCCCAAUGUAUGUUUAUGUGAUGUUUGUGUUGGGGUUUAAGUUAGUUUGUGCCCCUUUAUGCAUGUGGGAGUGUGUUUGCAUGUUUAGGUGAGAGCAUGUGAGGUUUUGGGUGGUUUGGAGGUUGGUUUUGCUUGUGACAGAUUCGGACCUGCUGUUCAGAGGGGACCAGGUUCGGCCGCCGAAGGUACGUUCGGCCGCCGAACCCUGCAUGGAAGGCAGCUUUGGCCGCCUAACGUGCCCCCGAAGGCUAGGACUUUCGGAUCUGUGAGAGGCUUCGGCCGCCGAACCAGCCGCCAAAGGUGCCAGACUUUCGGCUCUGGAAGGACUUUCGGCCGCCGAAAGUGCCCUCGAACCUGCAUGGCUUUCGGCUCUGGAAGAGACUUUUGGCCGCCGAAGGUGCCGCCGAAAGUGCUCUGUCCAGCCCUUUCAUGGUUAUUUUCUAUGCAUGUUUUGACGAUGUUUUAGGGGGUUUUUGGGGAGUUGUUUAGAGUGUGUUUGGCACCUCAUUCGAGUCCACCUGUGUAGGAUUGGACCAGAGGGACCGAGGAGGCCAGCAGUGUUAGCUGUUGCAGAGUCAGUCCAGCGUCUGCCAGAGGUGAGUAGAACUUAACCUUAUGUUUUUAAAGUAAAUCAAAUGCCUAAAGCAUGUUCAUGCAUCAUGUUUUUAUGUAAUAGGUUGAUUGCACUAGUUUCACAAAUAUGACGCAUUGCAUUAUUUACUGUUGAUAUGGAUGGACCAAGGCGACUUCAAUAGCCCAUAGAUCUGUCAUGAUUGAAAGUCCUGUGUGAGCUCCUUUAGGGGGGCCGGGCACUAUGUUGGGUAAGUCCUGUGUGAGCCCUUUUAGGGUCGGGCACCAUGUUAUGUGACUGAAAGUCCUGUGUGAGCUCCUUUGGGGGCCGGGCACCGACAGAGGGAGUUUUGAGGUCAUGUCCAAUCCGUGAUGUGAAUUAUUUGUGCUGUGACGCAUUUCAUGAAAGCAUGUGAUUAAUGAACUGUUUUUAUUGUUUCUACUCACUGGGCUUUUUAGCUCAUCCCUCUCCCCUAAUCCCAGGUUUGCAGGUUAGAGGUAGUCCAGGAAGACGUCAAGGGUAAAGGUUUUGGCUAUGUAAUAGAGUAGUGGACAUGAUGUAGAUUAAAGGAAUGUUAUGUGAUGUAAUAGAUUGUAAGAUAAUAUGUUUAUGGAUUAAUUUUGUGCUUGGCCCUAAGGCUUGGUUAGUCCCUUUUUAGUACAUGAUGUAUGUAAUGUUUUAAUGUUGAGUUGAGUUUGAACCAAACUGGUGGCAUGUGUUGUUUACCACGCUAGAGCAUUUGAUGAGGACCCUAGUGGAGGUCUUAUGCUUAUGGUUUCAAUGCAUGCACAGGUUAGGUUUUGGUUCAUCGAAUGUGAUCCAAGCUUGAUGUAUGUUAUGUUGACCCAGCUAGAGCAUUUGAUGAGGGCUCUAGUAUGGGGUUCUUUAUGUUUUCAGAGAGGUAGCAUACAGGUCAAGCUCGGAUUUACAUCAGAUGUUUAUGUUUUUGUGUUAAUGUUUUGAUCAUGUAUGGGAUUUGACUAGGUGACAGGAUGUAUGUUAGGCUUACUACGGGUCUCGGCGGCCUUAUGCCGAUCUGGAUCCUAGCGCCGGUAGCGGUCCGGUUUCCGAGUCGUUACAAAAAAGCUGCGUACUCCUGCGAUUGACGAAGAAGAGUCUUUUCCUAUAAAAGAAGAAGGAUCAUGGAUGACACCUAUGUAUAAAUUUUUAACACUGGAUAAUCUACCAGUCAAUGAAUUAUUGGCUAAAUAGGUAAUAAAGAAAUCCUCUAAAUAUACACUAAUUAACGGCUAGUUGUAUAGGAGGUCCUCAACUCAACCACGGUUCUAUUGCAUAAUGGAAGAGGAGGGCCAGAAAAUUCUAAAGGACAUCUAUGAAGGCGAUUACAGGAGUCCUGAAAGAGCUCGGAUGAUCGCCCAAAAAGCAUUCAGACAAGGAUACUACUGGUCUUUAAUAAUGCAAGAUGCAAAGCAACUUGUCUAAAAAUAUCGGAGAUGUCAAGUGCAUGCGAACAUUUCGAUAGGAGAGAUGCAAGCAACAAUUGGAAACCCCUGGUCUUUUUUUCAAUGGGGUUGAACAUCUUUGGCCCGUUUCCAAAAGCAAUCGGGUCAAGGAAGUUUGUGAUAGUAGCUUUCAGUGGGGAGGCUAAACAUCCUUGGCCCGUUUCUAAAAGCAACCGGGUCAAGGAAGUUUAUGAUAGUAGCAGUGGAUCAUUUUAGUAAGUGGACAAAGACUGAGGCAGUUCAGUCUAUCACUACCCAAUAAGUGAUGUCUUUUGUCAACAAGAACAUCUUCACUCGAUUUGGAAUUUCAAAGGUAAUAACCAUAAUGGCGGUUUAUAGAAACAACAGGUCUAGAAUAUUUAACAGUAGAGUCAAGUUACGUUUCUUUAAUAUAUGGGCCUUAAUCUUUAAAAGAAUAGAUAUAACAGGUGGUAAUGCCAAGUCUGUAAGUUGGACGAAAACUGGAAAGCAUCAUUUAGAGUUUCGAAGGUUAUUCGUCUAGGGUCUUAUAAGUUGGCCAAAUUAGAUGGCCGAGUCAUUCUCCACUCCUGAAAUAUUUGUAUUAUGAGAAAAUUUUAUCAAUAACAGUUAACUAUAUAUCUUUUUCAUGUGUUGCGUUCUUCAGUGACAAGAAACGAUGGAUUGUCUUCUUAAAAAAUAUUAAGAAAACAUUCAUUAAAGGCCACAAGGCAUGUUCCGCUAAACCAUAAUCCGAGUGUUAGUCCCAUUAAGUAAGGCAUUCUAUGUCAAGGCCACAAGGCGGGUUCUGCCAGGCCAUAAUCCCGGUGUUAGUCCCGCUAAACAAGGUAUUUUAUGUCAAGGCCACAGGGCGGAUUCCGUCAGGGCAUAAUCUAGGUAUUAGUCCUGUUAAACAAGGCAUCCUAUACUAAGGCCACAAGGCAAGUUUCACCAGACUAUAAUUUGAGUGUUAGUCCCACUAAAUAAGGCAUUCUAUACUAAGGCCGCAAGGCGGGUUCUGCCAGGCCAUAAUCCAAGUGUUAGUCCCGCUAAAUAAGAUAUUUUAUGCCAAGGCCACAAAGUGAGUUUCGCGAGGCCAUAAUCUGGGUUUUAGUCCAAGUAAACAAGACUUCUAUGCCAAGGCCACAAGGCAGAUUCCCCCAGGCCAUAACAAGGCAUUUUAUGCCAAGGCCAGAAGACAGGUUCUGCCAGGCCAUAAUUCGGGUGUUAGUCCCGCUAAACAAGACAUUCUAUGCCAAGGCUACAAGAUAGGUUCCGCCAGACUAUAAUCCGAGUGUUAGUUCCGCUAAAUAAGGCAUUCUAUGCCAAGGCCACAAGGCGGGCUCUGCUAGGCCAUAAUUUGAGUGUUAGUCCUGCUAACCAAGGCAUUCUAUACUAGACCACAAGGCGGAUAUCCAUCAGGCCAGGAUCCGGGUGUUAGUCCCGCUAAUUGAGACAUUCUAUACUAAAGCCACAAGGCAGUGACCACCAAGCGAGUUUUUGGGUAUUAUCCCCAACACACAAAAGAGAAGUUUCUGCCAAAAUCGCCACAAGGCAGGUAUUUGCUAGGUGAGUCUUCAGAUUUUAGUCCCAAAGACAAGUUUUCUACCAAGAAGCGCAAUGAGGCAGGAAACUGCCAAGCACAUGUCCAGGUGUCAGUCUCGAUUAAUAAAGAUUACAAAAGCAUUUCAUGCUUAGGCCACAAGGCGAGUAUCCACAAAGCUAACGACUAGGGUCAGCCUCAAUUAAUAAAAUCUUUAAACCGUUAUCAUGAUCGAGUGAUAAGUUUGGUCUAUUAUUUUCAAGAUAUUUAUUCCAUAGCCACGAGGCGAGUAUCCGCUAGAUGAAUCACAAGGCGGAUGUUAAGUCCUAUUAAAAAGCUUAAGUUAUUUUAUGGGCAGGAGCAAGCAUAGCAACACGAGGCCAAUCUAAACAUGCCACGUGUCCCAAAUCGUGAGGAUAAUUGUCACCUUUGUGUAACGACCCGAAAAUCGGACCGCUACCGGCGCUAGGAUCCAGAUCGGCUUAAGGCCGCCGGGACCCGUAGCAAGCCUGACAUGUAACCUGUAAACCUGUUUAAUCCCAUACAUGAUCAACAACAUACAUAAAAAUUUAAAACUUUUCUUUCAUACAUUCUAUCAUACACCAAACUCAACCUGUGCAUGCACUGAACAUAGUCAUAAUCAUAAACUUGACCCCUCUGUGGGAUCUCAUCAAUGCCCCCAAUGGGUGGCAUAACAUGUGUUGAGUUGGUUUACAUCUACAUCAUCAAACAUCUAAGAUCAUGUAAUAAAAGGGAUAACAACAUCCAUAGGGUCAAGCACAACUUCUAAUCCUCAAUAUCAUUAUACAUAACAUGACUAUUCAAACUUUACAUCAUCUUACAAUUUAUCAUGUCCACUUUCUAUCUAUUACAAACAUAUGACUUUACUCUUCUUGACUUCUCUGUCUAGCCCAUACCUGCAAUCCUGGGGGAUUAGGGAGAAGGGGUGAGCUACUAGAGCCCAGUGAGCAGAAUAAUAGAAAACAACAUUUAAAAUCUCAUGCCAUCAUGUAAUGCAACACAUCACAACAAAUCACAUCUCGAAUGGUAUUGUCACCAAUAGUCCUCUAUAUUCCAAAGUGCCGGGACGUAGAAUGGGUACAACCGGUCUUUCUCUUAAUAUAACAUAUCAUAACAUUCCAAUGUGCCAGGGACGUAGAAUGGGUACAACCUGGACUUUCUCUUACAUAGUGCCAGGGACGUAGAAUGGGUACAACCUGGACUUCCAUACUAUACCAUGCCAUAACAUCAUCAUAUCAUAUGAGGACUAAAGGGUCAUCCAAUAACCAAUCCACAUCAACAUCAUAAAUGCAAUGCAACAUAUUCGUGAAUUCUAAUGCAAACAACCUAUUUCAUCACAUGGCAUUCAUGAUGCAUGAACAUGUUGAAAACUUUAUAAUUUAUUUGCUUUAAAUCGUAAAGGUUUAUUCUACUCACCUCUUGGCUAGCUCUGACAAAGACUAAAGCAGCUGACUCACUGCUGGGGUCCUCGGUUCCUCGGGUCCGAACCUACACAGGUGGACUCAAAUGAGGGACCAAACAACUAGAACAUAACUCUAAAAACAUCCCCCAAAAACCCCCUAAAACACCUCAAAACAAUCAUGCAUGAAACAUGCAAAGGAAGGCUGAACAGGGCAGGUUCGGCGGCACCUUCGGCGGCCGAAAGUCCCAGACAGAGACGAAAGUCUCUUUUCGGGGGCAGGCUUCGGCAGCCGAAAGGCUUGCCUCCCCAGCCAUGUUCGGCGGCCGAAAGUCCUUCGGCUGCCGAACCUGGUUUCUGCCAAAGGGUAGAAACUUGGCUCCUCUUGCCUCCAAUGCCUCCCAAACCUUAUACACAUGCAUAAUCCUAUUCUACAACACCCAUACUCAAGCAUACAAGCUCCUAGGGGCUUCAAACCAACUAAAACCCCAUCUACAACACAUCAAACAACACAAAUCCAACAUACAUUUCCCAUAAUCCAACAAAAACCCAAAAACUUAUAAAACCCUACACAUGCAUUUCUACUUCAAGAAUCAACUUAAAACUUGUUAAAAACAUAUAGUGAGCUCAAGAUCGGCCCUUACCUCUUGAAGAUCGAGAGGAAAACGACCCUAGCUCGAAGAUGGGAGAGAUUUGAGUUCUUGGACCUCAAAGCUCCAAAACUUGCUUUAAACUCGAAAAUCUUCAAAACAAGAUGAAAACUCAUAAGAAAAACAUGAAAUCUCGAAGGGAGAAGCUCAAAACAGAGGAGGGGCGGUGGAGAACUCACCUUGGCCGAAAACGGAAAGAAAAGCUUGCCCGUUUCGGCCAUGGGGUCCUUAUAUAGGGCUGUCCUUACCACCUUUCGGCGGCCUAACGUGCCCCCACAGCGCAUGCAAGUUCAGCGGCCGAACCUUGGCUGAUUUAAACAAGGCUUUCGGAGGCCUAAAGCGCUCCCAAAACCUCCCCAUGUUCAGCGGCCGAACCUGACAAAGUCUCCAAAGCCCUCUACACUCAAAACUUGGAUUUAUUUUCAUUAAAAACCAUAAAAUACAUUAAAACAUUUUAUGAAAACAUGGUUUUACCCUUCUAGAGGUCUCCGACAUCCGAGAUUCCACCGGACGGUAGGAAUUCCGAUACCGGAGUCUAGCCGGGUAUUACACUUUGAAUAUGAAGAAUCGAAGACCAGUAGGGAGACUUCUGAUAUAGCAGAAUAAUCGCCCAAUGCAGGCCAUGUGCUAGUACUCGAAGAUAGGGUCACGUGGUAAGAGUCUGAUCAAAUGAUACUCGAUCCCCACCGACAGANNNNNNNNNNNNNNNNNNNNNNNNNNNNNNNNNNNNNNNNNNNNNNNNAAAAGACUCAUACAACACAAGUUUCAACUCUUCAUCUCAUCAAGACUCACCCUCUCAAUUACAUGGCGAGAUUUUAUGAGAAGUUAUUGUUAGCGAAUACAAUCCAGCAGACCUUCAUUACACUUAUAAUUACGGGAUUCCCUAUCCACUAGCUAGCACCCAUCGGAUUUUCAGGAGACGUGGUAAAUUAACUCCAAAAUAUAAAAGCAGAUGAAUACAAAUAUCAAGUUACGCAAUUUUUAUACAAUUAUUAUUAAGUUCAAAAUAUAAUGUUAUACACACCAUUUUUUUCAAUUUACUGAUUUGAGCGUCGAGACCUGUCGUAGACGCCAAUCAACUCAUAUUUCUUUUUUUUAUAAGUUGACCAAUCGCAGUACAGUUCUAUUUCAGUCACAUCAGUGUGUGGUUACAUUUCUUGAGGUAAUAUUACAUAAUUUAUAUAUUAAGGGAAAUUAGUAAGAACAGUUAUAUGUGAAUUUUAAUAAAUAUUUUCCCAGUUUUAUAAUUUUUAUUUAUUUUAUUUUUUUAUAUAUAUAUUAAAAAAUAUAAAUUUUUUAAUUAUACUCAUUUUAAAUAUAUUAAAUUUUAUUAAAAUAUUAAAAAUUAUUUUAAAAUUUUUUUUUAUAAAUAAAAUAAAAUUUAAUAUGAUUAUAAUACUCCAUUUAUAUAAUGAUUAUAAUGUAAAAAAAUAAAUAAUAAUUUUAAAAUAUUUUUAAAAAAUAUGAUAAAAAUUAUAAAACGACAGUAUAAUAUUACAUUUAUAAGAAACAAACAAAAAUUGAAUUAAAAACAUCAACUAACUAGUGGGAUUCAAUAUGCAUUGCAUAUUACCCAACUUUAAAUAAUAAAGAAGGAGGUGCAUUUAUAGCGAUAGCUCGGAAAUCGAAUGGUAUGAAUGUGAUGACUAAGAAGUCAAAGAAAGGACAUGUCAUUCCCCAAUCAUUGGCUGCCAAGUCAAACAAAUCCAGUCAUGUGUCCAUUCUCCUUGGAAGGCGCGUGCUCACUUUUGACACGCUUCCACUACCCGUCUCUCCCUCCAAUAAUAUUUAUUUAGACUAAAUUUAUAUAAAUUUAUAAUAUAAAUAUACAAAAUUUAUAUUAACUAUAUAUUUUUAUUUAUUUUUUUUAUCUCUUAAAUUUUAGAGAUUUGAGAUCCAAAUUUAAAAUUUUUAAGUGAAAAAAAAAAUUGUGUUAUUAUUUUACAAAAUUUUAAUUAUUCAAUAAUGAUCAUUAGUGGUUGCUUACGAUCACACAACUAUAGAAUUUUGAUAAAUUUUUAUUUGUAAAAAGGUAAUGGGAGAAAAUUUCAAUGAUUAGAUGUUAUUUCUGAAACAAUAGUAUUACGCAAUUGAUGAAAAAGAGAAGAUGAAGGAAUUGAAUUAGGGUUGUUUAUAAAUUUUUAUUAAUAAUAAAUUCCAUUAUAGAUUUUGGUCCUACCCAAAUUUUAAUGUCGGUUUGACCUUGAAAUUGAAUCGUGGCAUUUCUAAAACUAAUCAUAACUUUGCACAAAAAGAUGGACAUGCUAGAAAUUAAUUCUAUGAUGCCACUGUCACUUUCAUGACAUAAUAUUGAGUCGGCCUUUGAUUUAUGGGAAAAAAAGUAUUUUAAUUAAAAAAUUAAUUAUUGAAAAAAAAUUGUAAUUAAAAGAAAUUUAAAUAAUUUUUAAACAAUAAAAUAUUUUAUAAAAUUUUAAUAAUUUUAUUAAUAAUAUUAUUACAAUUAUUUAAAAAUAAAUUAUUAAUCAUCAACAUACAAUAAAAUAAUAAAAUUAUAAUAAGAAUUUGAAAUAUGUGAAUUUAUCCAUAUAAGUCCCUCAAUUUUUUAUUAAAUUUCGUCCUCUUUUAAAUAGGAUAAAACUUUAAAAAAAUUACUAUUAUCACAUACAAUCUAAUAUAUUAACAUUACACUGAUAAUCAUACGAUUUUACCGAUUGAUACCAAUAAAAUUUUUAAAAGAUUUUAUAAUUAAUUUUACUUUUUUAAAAUAUAAAAAUUAAUAUAUACAGAAAUUAAAAUAUAUAUUUUUAUACAUAUUUUAAAUUUUAAAUAAUUUAUUAUAUUUAUCUAUUCUAUCAGUUUACUUAUACGGCAGAGUAAUUAUUCACAGCCUUAAACCAUUUAACAUUUUUAUAUUUUUCUUUUUUUAAAUUAAUCAAUUUUUUUAAUAAUUUUAAAUUACAGUUAAAUUGUUUUCUUAAUAAAAUUAUUGCAUAAUUUUAUGAUUACUGUUAAGUUAAUGUGUGAAAAUUUUCAGCUUAAAAAAAAAAAAAAAAGAAAAAAACUCAAUCACUUGAACCAAACGCACCAUAAUAUAAAUGCAAAAAUAAAAAUAAAAAUAAAAAUAAAAAUAAAAAUAAAGCCUAUUAUUCUUUAUUCUGUUCUCUUUAUUUUACGUACGAAGCAAAUUUAACUUUUCUUAACUCUUUAGUCAAAUAUUUAUUAUUAAGCAAAUAUAACAAAAUUUUCUUUUUUUAGAAAAAAAUAAUUAAUAUUAUAGAAUUAUUAUUGGUUACUAUUGAUUAUUCUCAAUAUAGCCUCCACCGACUAUCUUUAAUUUGGAUAAGAAUAUUCUAUAUUCGUUUUUCUUAUGAUAUUUUUUUCCUAUAUAAUUAUUUAAUUAAGUGGAUAAAAUUCCCUUAAUUUUCAAAUAAAAUAUUUUUAUUUUUCAAGUGUCAAAUCUUAAUUUGAUGGUUUCAAUAUGAAUCAUACAAUUUUUUUAGGUAGGUAUAUUUUUCCUUAACUGUCUAAAUGUUAGUUGGAAAUUUAAUCUGCUAUUUUUAAAAUAAUUAAAAGAGAUUAUUCUUUUUUAGAAAAGUAGAAAAAAGAAGAAGCUGAAUCUUAUACUAAAAUUAACUGAUGUAAGUUGUAGUUAUCUUCAUUGUUUGGUUCCCAAGAAUCUUUAAAUUCUUCCUCAACCUAUCAAUAGAAAAUUGUAUCAAAGUGGAAAAUUUUUUUUAUUAAUUAUUCAUUUUAAUUUGUUAGUGAAAUUGUAAUACUGGGUUCUUUGAAUUAAAUUAAUAAAAUUAUAUAAUAGUCUAUUAAUCGAUUAUACUUUAAAUUUAAUAAAUUUUUUAAUAUUAUAAAAAUUAAAUAAUAAUUUUUUUUUUACUUCAGUAAUAAUUUUAUUUUUUUAAAAUAGUAAAGGGGAAAUGUCAGCCCAGUGAUGAUGGAGACAGUGAAGUGGAUGAUUAGGACUUCCAUGUGAAAUGGAAAAGAAAAUUGGAAAAGGAUUCUUGAAAUUGCACUUAUUUAUUUGUCAUUAACUAUUUAAAGGAAAAUAUUUUUUCAAAAAUAAAAUAAAAUUAGAAUAAGCAAAGUGCCAAAAAAAGUAUUAUUACUGCAAUCGCCAAGUGGCAACCAAAAUAAAAUAAACAGAAAGAUGUGAGUGGGGAUUUUCUGUUAAUUCUUUUAUUUAUAUAAAAUUAAAGAAAUACAUCAUUUAACAUUACGAAAAUAAAUAUAUAAUUAAACUUAUAGAAUUUUAACUCAUUAAUAUUAAAAUUAUCUAUAAAAUUGAGAAUUUAAAUUUUCAGUUGAAAUUAAUUAUAUUAAAAAUAAUAAUUUCUCUAGUUUUAAUUUUAUAUUUUAAUUUACUAAAUUUAAUAAAUAAUUUUAAUUAAGAUUUAGUAUUAUGACCACCGGAUCUUUUAUAUUUGGAGCAAGGUCAGACUCUGAUGAGAAAGGCGGGCUCAAAAUUUACUAGGCCCUCUUAAAAUAAAUCAGUCUAAAUAGCGCGUCUCAGUCCAGUUGGGAUCAAACUGGACAGAUCUCACACAUAGACUCUUUUGAAGAAAGUUCAGUAUGAUGAUGUGACCAAAGGAAGGAGAGUAUACUCAAUCGCUUUGCAACUCUGCCGGUAUGUGUAUCGAAAAAAAUUAAAUGGCCGUCUGGUAUGAAAAAUUUUUUUAACACAUUCAUAUGUAUAGAUCUGAAUGAUAGAGACAAAUGGUAUUAUACUAGAAAGACUGUUAGACGUUAUUAACAGAUAAAAUAAAAAGGAAGAAAUAUUUUAUUUUUUAUCUAAACUUACACCGAUCUCAUAACAUUAAGUAUAUAAAAUUAAUAUUUUAUCAAUAUAAAAAUAUGAAAAUAAAUUAUAAUAUUAUAAAACCUCAUACAAGUGUUCACUAAUUAAUAGUAAAAACUUAAAUGAUUUGAAGGCUGAACCUUAUACACAUACGUAUAUAAUUUAUAAAUUUAUACAAAAUUUUGUAUAAUUCAAAAAAAUUUAUAUACUAUUUAAUUAUUAGUCUUUUCAUUUAUAAUUUUAUUAUUAUUUAUUUAUUUAUUUGUUACGAUUAUUUGUGAACGAGAUUCUGUUUUAUUUUCGCUUAGGAGUGUCACUUUCAAUUAUUCCCAAAGAAUUGUUUGUUUUUGGAUUUUCUAAAUACCUUUUUGUCUCAAAUAAUUGUGGCUACAACUCAAAGAGUAAAUGCCAAAUUUCUUCCCCACUAUAUCUAAAUUAUUUAUAUUUUUUUAUGAAAAAAAUAAAAUAAAUUGAAUAAAAUAAGCUAAAUAUAUUAAUUUUAUUAUAAUUAUUGAUUAUAGUAAAUUUUAUAUAAUCGUUGUUACUUUUAUUUUGUUAAAUUUUUUAAUAAUUUUUUUAUAAUUCUUUUUAUUUUACUAAAAAUUAAGCUACAUGUAACCACAAAAAUUAAAAUUUAAUAGUAUCCAGAACCAUCAUUGUACCAAAAUGAAGAGAUGCUCAAAUUUUUGGUAGGUAUUUAGAUCCAUCAAGACAACUAUUGCUCGUGAAUUUGAUGCAAUGCCACUAUAUUCUCAUCAUUUUAGAAUACCAAGUUCUUCUUGCUCUCUUAUGAUUCCAUUUUGUCUCUUUCUACACCUUCAAACACGUGGGAAAAAAAUAUAAAAAGUAUCCCAUAAUUUUUUUUAUUUUUUAUUUUUAAAUUUACCAUUCAAUUUAUAUCAAAAUAGUACACAUGUUAUUAUAUCACAUCAGUAAUAAAAAAAAGAUAAUUUACCAUAAAUAAAUUGAAUUAUAAAUUUUGAAAUGAAAAUGAGUGAAUUAUAUUUUAAUUGUUAUAUCAAUCUUCUUUGAUAAUGUCAGAAAAUUGACAUUAUUUAUUAACGGUACGAUAAUUAUAAGUAUUGUUUUUAAUACAAAUUAAAUUAUUUUAAAAUAGAAAUUAUUAAAAUAAUAAUAUAUUUUUUAUAUAUUUAUAUAUUAUAUUAUAAAAAAAUAAGAGAAUAAAAGAAUUAGAGUGUUAAAUAUGAAAUUUCUCAAAUUUUAAAAAAAUAUACUAACGGUGGAGCUAAAUCCUUGAAUAUCCUUGUAAUUUAAGGCUGAAAAAGGUAUUUAAUGUGGUCACAAAAAUUCUUGUUAAUCAUUUAUUCUACACAUGGCCUGCUUAUAAACCUUUAAAGGAAAUUUUUAAAAAAAAAAAAAUUAUAUAAUUUUAGCAUCCGAAUUUUAAUGGAAAAUUUAAAGGAAGAACGCGUUUCGAUUUGUCAAUUUACAAUCGCGUUUCGAUUUGUCAAUCUACAAAAAAAGUAAGGCGAUUGAUGCUUACCGUAACUAUUCUAAUGUUCAAGUUAAUGAACUAAAAAAAAAAGCAGUGUAAUGAACUGUUUUGAACUCAAUAAUAGUUGUAUAAGAAUGUUUACUUUGAUCUAUGUAUUCAUUAGUUGUUAUACUAUAAAGUGAAGUUGGUUAUUAAAUUUCAUAAAAAUCUGAUUAGUAUCGGUUAAUAGAUAAGAGAUUUUGCGAUUAUAAGUAUAAUGGAAUUUGCUAGAUCGUGUUUUCUAAGGUAACUUUCUGCAAGGUCUCGUCCUGUAGUUGAGAAAACGAAAAGUCAACUCGUAAUUAUAAGUGUAAUGAAAAUCUAUUGCAUUAUAUUUCUGUAAAGUCUCGUCAUGAAAUUGAGAGAGCGAGUCUUGAUGAAUGGUCGAGACCUUUAACAUGCCGAUCUUCUUUUUUAUCGGCGGAAUCAAAUAUUAUUUGAUCAUAGUCACGUGACUCUACCUUUAAGUGUCAAUUAUAUAUAAAUUUGAAAGUAAGAGAUGAUUUUAUUAUUUAAAUUAAUUUAAAGAGUUAAUUAAGAGAAUCUUAAAAUUUAAAAUUUUUUAAAAUAAAAUAAGAUUAAAUUUUUAUAAUAUGGAUAUUAAAAUAUAAAUUUAUUAAUAUUUAAAAAGUUUAAAUUGGAUUAUAUUUUUCUUAUUUUUAUUCAAAUCUAUUAUAUUUUUAUUAAAAUUAAAUAAUUAGGAUAAAAAAUUACUUAUAUAUAUUUUAUUAGAGUUAUGUUAUUAAUUGUAAAAGGGAGUUUUGAAGAUUGAAGUUUUAUUUUGAUUAUUUAAAUAAAAUUUAUAAAAUUAAAAUUGUUAUUAAAUUUUUAUUUGAUUUUUUAAAUUUAAAUUGUAUUAUAAUUUUUUUAUUAAAAUUUAAUGAGUAAAUUUUUUUACAAGGAUAAUACACAUAUAAUUAUGUUACAGAUAAAAAAAAUAUUACAUAAUUUAUUUUAACUAAAUAUUUUAAAAUCAUUAAUAAAUUGUCAAUGCAUAUGUAAAUUUAAUGUGAUUAUGAUUGACAUUUUAAAAUAAUUAAAAUACAUUGAACUAUAAAUUUUUAAGUUUAACAUUAUUCAAUUUUUAAUUAAUAAGUUAUGAACCGUUAGCAUCGUAGCAUUAUACAAUGAUAUGCAAUCCUACCUAUAAAAAGAAAAUUUUAAAUGUUAUAAUACUCUAUUCAACAUUAAUAUUCAUUUUUUUAACACUAUGAGUUUUUACGAAAAGUUAUUAUUAGCAGAUAUAUUUUAAUAAAUUUUUAUUAUAUCUAUAAUCGCGAGAUUUUUUAUUCAUUAAUCAGUAUUAGUCGAAUUUUUAAAAUAUUUGAUUACGAAUUACAUAUUUCUAUAAUAUAAAAAUAUAAAAUCUAAUAUACACAAAAAUCAAAAUAUACAUUUUUAUAUAUUUAUUAUAGAUUUUAAACAAUUUAUUAUAUUCACUCAUCUUAUUAAUUUACUUACUAACGUGUCGGAGUAACGGUUUAUAAACAUCAAUUGCCUCACAUCUUCUAUUUUACAGAUGGCCAAUCAAAUCUCAAUUUUAUUUUAGUCACAUCUAUAUUAUUAAAUUUAUUAAUAAUUUUAAAUUAUGUAAUUUAAUCAAUAUACAUUAUCCUAAAAUAUGAGUUAACUAUAUUUUAAAAUUAUUAAAGUAUUAACUUUUAUGUUUACUAGAAAUUUUUGAGAUAUUAAAGAUUUAAGUAUAGUUGAGAUCUGACAAUAACUACAUUAAAUUUUUAAGUUUAAAUGUGAAUAGUUUUAUAACAAUAUACACAAAAAUUUUAAAAAUCUAAUUAAGAAACAUAUCCAAAUAUUUUCUUAGAAAAAUAGGUUUUUUUUUAUGAUAAAUAUGUUUAAAUAGUAAUUAUUUAAGUCAUUGUUAUUAAAUAUAUCUAGACUAAAAAUUAAAUUAUCAACUGUAAAAAAAUAAAUAAAUAUUAAAAUUUAAUGCAAUUCAAUUUAUUUAAUUAGUUGAAUCAGUAAAUUUUAAAAUAUUUUAAACGGAAUAUAUAUAAAAAAUAUAAUUAAUUUAUACUAAAAAAAUUAAAUGAAAGAUUUUUAGUUAAUUAUCUCAAAGACUAACUAAAAACUAAAAUAAAAUAAAUGGUUUUAACUAAAAAUUACUAAAAUAAGAUAAACUUGACAUUUAAUUUUUUACAUAAAUUAAAAAAAAUAUAAACAAUAUACUUAUAGUAAUAAAAUUUUAUAUUAUAUUUUCUAAUAUAUCAUCCACUUAUAUCAUUAAAUUAUUAAAUUAAAUUAAAAUAAAAUAUAGUUAAAACUAAUAAAAAAAUUAAUAUCUAGAAAAUAAAAUAAAAUAAACUUUUCAAUCAGUGAAUAAAAAUAUUAUUAUAAGAAUCCACUUGGCAUCCUUAGCAUUAUUGUGUUAGUACAUGCCAAACGUGCAUGCUCUAAUAAUAAAAAUAAUAAUAAUAACAACAAUAAUAAAAAUACCAAACAUGCACAAACUAUAACAUAAUAAUAAUAAUUCCAUUUAACUUAAUUUUUUUUAUAAGUAAUAAUAUUUUACAAUAAUAAUAAUAAUAAUAAUAAUAAUAAUAAUAAUAAUAAUAAUAAUUUGCUUGCACCCGAUUUUACUAUUUACUCAAAAUAUAAAAAAAUUAAAAUUUUCUUUAUAUUAAUCUGACUCAAUACCACGUGUCAUUAGAGCUAAUAACGUUUAAUUCAAAUUGAAGAUGAUGAGGGUCGGAUGCACAUCAUCCGGGUCGAAUGCACAUCAUCCGGGUCGGAUUGAAUGCUCGUCAUAUUAUACCGGUCUGGGUAAGAUUCGCGCAAUAAUAAUAAAUAUCACAAAUACCAAAGCAGCAGAGGUCCAAUGUAGAGCCAAUAGAAAGCAAGUGGCGUUUUGGGUGAGUGUCAUCCCUUACGUUUAAGUCAAUGAGAUUUCUGAGCCUUACUCUCCUCUUUUAAUUCCUGCUUUUACAACACUCUUUGAAUUGCUGAAACGACUAUGGAUAAUUUCCAACAGCUUCGUCUCCAUACUUCUCAUCUCCAUUGCCUCUCAUGCUCCUCUCCCUCUAUAGCUCAAGCCAAUAAUUAAAUAAUGACUAUUUAUUUAUUUAUUUAUUUAUAUAUAAUUGUGUUAAAAAUUUAAAAAUAUUGAUUAUAUGUUCUUAAUAAAUUGUCAUGUGGUAUGAUGUACAAAGACCCACCAUGAUAAUAAAAUGUUCAAGCUAGUGGAUUUGAAUAUAUGGGUCCUACCAUAAUAAAAUUAAUUUAAAUAAUUAAAAUUUUGAAAAAAAAAAAAGAAGCUUUCUCUAUAAGUUGCGUAUUAGAUUUGGUAGUUAAUGCGUCAAUUUCGCCAAACUGUGUUACCACUUUUACUUAAAAUUUUUGUGUAUAUUUAUGCAAGAAGUUAAGAGAAUGAGAAUAAAGUAAACUUGUGAAAUAAGGCAGCUUAAUUAUAAUUUCCAUUAUAUUUUAAAUUUUAAUAUUCUGAUUUUAUUAAUUUUUGAUAAAAUCACUGUGAAAAAAUUGCAGCUGCGAAUAUAUCAGACAUUGAGCAAAACAUAUAAUUCAUGUGAGCACAUGUGAACUCGGAAAUUAAAAGACAGCAGGUGUAGGUGACAAAACAUCAAAACAUCAUAUGAUGUAUGUAAUGAGAUUACACAAAAAGGUGAGAAAUGGAAGGUGAGGAGGAAAAUCAAAUCUGUUUUGUAUCAAGUUGGGAGAAAGAAGAAUCAUUGAUUUAAACAUGGAGUAAUUAAUAAAAAGAAAAUUGUUUAUUUAAUGAAAAAAGCAGAGAUCAAUUUGCUAGCAAAAUCUGGAAAUUAGAGAAUUAAAUGGCAGAUGCACACGUGGCAAGAAGAAAUCUGAACCGCACAGUAUUUUACAACACAAGACGUAGACCAAUUUGGAUAAGGCCAUACCCACUCUUUGCCAGUUGCCACUCUACUAUAAAUUUCCAUGCAAACCACACAUCCAGCCAUAAACCAAAACAACCUCAUUUCUCCUUCUCCGGCGUCUCCUCCACAACGUCUAUCUCUACCUUUACUCUUCUCACAACCAUCUCUCAUGGAGUCUGAUCCUAGGAAACAACAACCACCCAAGCUCCCUUCUUCUCAACCUCCUCCACCUCCUCUACCAUUAGAUCCUCCUCCACCCUCGUCGAGGUCGCUUAGAAAGAUUGUAGUGGUGGCCUCCAUAGCUGCCGGUGUCCAGUUCGGCUGGGCCUUGCAGCUCUCUCUUUUGACACCUUACGUUCAGCUUCUUGGCAUACCUCACACCUGGGCUGCUUUCAUUUGGCUAUGUGGACCCAUUUCCGGAAUGCUUGUCCAGCCUAUUGUCGGCUACCAUAGCGACCGUUGCACCUCCCGUUUUGGCCGUCGGCGACCCUUUAUUGCUGCCGGUUCUGUCGCUGUUGCUGUGGCUGUUUUCCUCAUUGGUUAUGCUGCUGACCUUGGCCACCUCUCUGGUGACCCUCUUUCCAAGAGCCCCAAACCACGAGCUAUUGCUGUGUUUGUUGUCGGAUUCUGGAUUCUGGACGUCGCUAAUAACAUGCUCCAGGGUCCUUGCCGUGCUCUUCUCGCCGAUCUUUCUGGUGCCAAUCAGAAGAAGACACGUAUAGCUAAUGCACUGUACUCCUUCUUCAUGGCCGUCGGAAACGUUCUUGGCUUCGCCGCUGGAUCCUACACUCAUUUAUAUAAAAUAUUUCCGUUCUCAAAGACUACAGCUUGCGACGUUUACUGUGCAAAUCUGAAAUCUUGUUUCUUUAUCUCCAUUGUUUUGCUUUCAUCUCUCACGUUGUUAGCUCUCAUUUAUGUUCGUGAAAGACCUUGGUCCCCGGAGCAGAGAAACACCGCUGCGGGUGACGAUGAGGAGGAGGAGGAAGGACCGUCGGAAUCUUCUCCGAUGCCGUUCUUCGGAGAAAUAUAUGCGGCUUUGAAGAAUCUACAGAGACCCAUGUGGAUCCUUCUCCUUGUGACAUGCUUGAACUGGGUUGCAUGGUUCCCAUUUUUGUUGUUCGAUACCGACUGGAUGGGCAGAGAGGUGUACGGCGGAGAUUCAAACGGGAAUUCCGAUCAGGUGAGGCUGUAUGACCGUGGGGUUCGCGCCGGUGCACUGGGUCUGAUGCUGAACUCGGUGGUCUUGGGGUUCACUUCUCUGGGUGUGGAGGUGUUAGCGCGUGGGGUCGGAGGAGUGAAAAGAUUGUGGGGUAUAGUGAAUUUCAUUCUUGCAUUUUGCUUGGCAAUGACCAUCUUGGUUACCAAAAUGGCUGAAUCCCACAGAAAAUUCACCACCGUGGAAGGCGGCGCCACCGUUACCUUGCCACCACCUGGAGGCGUCAAGGCUGGUGCAUUGGCCCUUUUUGCGGUGAUGGGUAUCCCUCAAGCUGUAAGUCCUUGCUUACCUUUCCCCUCAAUCUCUUUCUUUUUUCUCCUUUUUUUUUUUUUAAUUAUUAUUUUUUCUAUUUUUUAUUUUUCUAAUUUGUAAUUUAUCAGUCAACAGUCAACACUGAACAACAUUUGGUAACAGCACCUACCUGUCUCUUACUUAAAAGAAAAUAAAUAUAGUUGUAUCAUACAACUUCAAUUGACAUGUAAUUCUGUCUUUUUAUCUGUCAAUUAAUGGUUUUUUAAUAUAUUUUUUUAAUUUAUUAAGUAUUUAAAAGGGUAAAUAAUUAAAUAAUCCACCUCAACUAGUUUUAAAUUAAGAUUUUGUAGCUUAUUUCUUUAUUUUACUUUGUGCAGAUAACUUACAGCAUUCCUUUUGCUUUGGCAUCAAUAUUUUGUAACACUGCUGGUGCUGGCCAAGGUAAUUAAUUAAUUACUAUAUUAUAAAAAAAAAUUAAAUUCAAGACUUAAUAAAAUCUAACCCAUUUCAAUUUUUCAAUAGGACUUUCUUUGGGAGUUCUAAAUCUUUCAAUAGUUAUACCACAGGUAUGAUUCUCUCUCUCUCUCUCUCUCUCCCCUUUUAUUUUCAAAUUAUUAUUUUUUUUAAAUAAACAAUUGUGUUUCUCUAAGAAGAUUUGGCAACUUGUUAAAAUCAUUGAUGUGAUGAUUAAGAGGAAUAUUUUCUUGGUGAAGAACAUGCGUAGGCAUUUUAGCAAAGUAUGGGCAACAAUCCCUAGCUUUUGAUAUUAUUGAAUAAGUCAAAAAAUUACAGGCACAGCACUGGCUGGCUUUGGAGUUAUUCAGGGGAAAAUAACAAUUUUUUUUUUUUUUUAAAUAAAAGAGCUAUACCCACUUUUUCAAACAACCGCAAAGUUUCAAUCUGUUUUCUUCCUCCUGUGACUCACAAGGAAAAGAGAGACAAUUCAAGUUUGAUUUUUGAAAAACUUAUUGUUGGAAGGAAUACCCAUGAUCCGAAAACAGAUAUUGUGGGACACCGACGAAUUAAAAAAGGAUCAUAUACGAAUUUGUUUUGUGUAAAAGAGAAAAAGAAAAAGAAAAAGAGAAAGAAAAAGGAAAAGAUUUAAUUGCAGCUUUAUAACAAUAUUGUUAGUUAAGCUAAAUUAGCAUUAAGGAAUAUGGAUUUAUAACUUUUUCCAUGUGUGCUCAUACUUAGAAUUUUUUUUUUUUUUUUUAUUGCAGNNNNNNNNNNNNNNNNNNNNNNNNNNNNNNNNNNNNNNNNNNNNNNNNNNNNNNNNNNNNNNNNNNNNNNNNNNNNNNNNNNNNNNNNNNNNNNNNNNNNNNNNNNNNNNNNNNNNNNNNNNNNNNNNNNNNNNNNNNNNNNNNNNNNNNNNNNNNNNNNNNNNNNNNNNNNNNNNNNNNNNNNNNNNNNNNNNNNNNNNNNNNNNNNNNNNNNNNNNNNNNNNNNNNNNNNNNNNNNNNNNNNNNNNNNNNNAAAAAACCCCUUUUGGAAGCUUCUCUAAUUUGCUUUCUUUUUUUUUAAAAAAAAUAUGUGUGAGAAAGGCCAGAAUGGUCAUGGUUCAUGUUGUAAUAGGAUCAUCAAUGGCCAAAAAUGGUUCAUUUGGAUGAAAUCAAUGGCUGUACAUAUCCAUGCUUAAAUCUUCAAUGGAAUUAAUUAAAAUUGAUAUGCAGUCAUCUCAAUUCUAUCAAUAAUGAUUCUACACUUCAAUUAAUGCUUGAUUAAUUAAAU